AAAAACUGAGACACAUGGUCAGAGAAUGGAAAGAAGGGGCAAGCCAUGAUGGUGGUGGCCAUCAAGGCUUCGGCAAUGCAGUGAUUCUCUUCUGGGUGGCUUUGAUCACCCUGUCUCUCAUGUCAGCUAUCAUCUUCUCAUGUUCGGACGGUGCUUCCAAGGACAAGGCCUCGGCAACUCAGACCGAUGGUUAUCAAGGAACCGGAUGCACUGCCUGCGGUGGCGCCUGCGGUGCAUGAACACGCCUUCGCAUUCUCCUACUCAGGAAUGAGGCACUGUUGGAAAUAUAUUCUUGUUUUUUCUGUUUACCGCUGUUGAGAUAGGAAAUCAACGACUUUUCAGUUAAUGAGAAGGAAAAGGAAGCAAUCGUAGCCGACAACCACACCCUUCCCUUCUUACCUGAUGUGCGAAAAUCUAUCUUGUUUUUUUUUUUCCUUAGUUGUUGGUCUAGUUUCUUUCUUUGAAUAUCAUGCUCAGAAGAGAAGUUUUUUACCAAUUUUCUUUCCUUAGAAUAUUGUUUAGAAUACGAUUUUCCUUUUUACCUAAUUUCUCUUCUUUAGAAUAUGAUUAAGUGCAUAUACCAUAGAACUUGUAAUACACAAUUAUCCAAAAAAAUGGGCAGCAAUGCAUAUCUAAACAAAAAUGUUCAGGAGAACUGUAGUAGUUUUUGUUUAAAUUUUGAUCCCUCAAAUAUUAUUUGCAUAGAUGAGCUCCAUGUGUUACAUACAUUUGUUGUCCCUUUAAGGAUCCAGGAAUCAUUACAAUGUCAAAAUGUUACAUAGUGUUUAUUUUCCAACUUAAUAAAAAAAGUCAAAUAUUUUGGUUUUUUCUAUUCAGCUAAUUCACUUUAGUUAUAUUGAUUGAUAUAAUAGAUUAAUUUUAGCUGAAUAAAAAAAAAUUAAAUAUUUUUACUUUUUCUAUUCAAUCCAAAAUCGAACACCACCUUAGUCACUGAGUUCUAUAUUCUCUGCCUUCUGCCGUAUUUCAGUAGAGGAUAUAUCCAUGCGGAACCUCUCUGCUGGAAUUGGGAUAAACAUGUCUUUCAACUCCUCUGGAAUCUCAAGAUCUUCAAGAACCUGCAGGAAGAUAUUGAUUGUCAUUGAUAGAGAUUUCAAAAAGAAACAUGAAAAAAAGAUGGAUGCUUUCCCAGGCUUUAAUUAUCCGGACGCACCUUGAAAACGCCAUCUAUGUUUCGACCACCCACAAGGAAAAUGCAUCCUGUUCUUUUGCACCCCCCAAGUAUCUCCAGCAUCUUCUGGUUACUCCCAUCAUAGUAUUUUGGCUGCAAGGGAAUAGAAAUAAUUGUGAGAAAUCAACUAUAAUAUCAUGCAAUGCUUAUACCCUUGACAGAAACCAACUUCUUAUGUGACCAUGGGAUGAAAACCAGAUAUUGGCAUCUAAAACACUGCAACUGACAAAUUGAUUAUAUUCUAUCCUUCAAGAUAAUAAACCAACUUCACAAUAAGGCUUGCCCUACCCUACCCAUGUUCAACAUAGAGGCAAAGGCAGCCCUCAGAAUAGAAGGCAUCCCUCUAAGGGCUGCAAUGGGGUAACCAGACCUUGUAAUCAAAACAGCCAGCCUGUUCAUUUGGGAUUUGGUGGCCUCCAUCUGAAAUGUCCCCAAAAGGGGGGAAAAGGUUCUGCAUGUAGGAGUAACAUAGUGAAUUUCAUCCAAAUUACAAAUUUUCACUUGUAUAAAUUCAUUAGACACAUACUAGCCUUAAAAAAUAACAGGGAGAUCAUGUAUAAACCACAGUUAAGACUUUGUUGCACCAUGGUUAUUGUGGCAAUUUGCAUACGGUUCUCGAUUUGUGUUCAAGGCAUGUCCACAAUUAUUUCCUAGACUUUCAGCCAUUCAAAAUCUUGAGACAUGGCACUCAUUCAAACUUCCAAUAGAGCAACUCUUGAGUGACUUAUUUUGUUCCUAAGAUGCUAAAUGGAAAUAUCUCAAUCUUCUAAUGUUCCUGCACACAUAUAGUGCAUUGUAAUCUUUGUGAUGUCAUCCUUUAUAUGCAUGCUUCACAAGGUUCAGCUCUGCCAUCUUAUUGGGUCGCAAAGCCUCACAUAUAUGAUAUCAGGUUGCAUCUCUAGCAAUUUAUCAUAAAAAGAAAAAUGAACUUGCAUGGCAUAUGACAUAAAAGAAUUCAUGCAAAUCCAUGUUAAGUUGUUUGGAUCACAUACAUUGAUAAGCCUCACAACAGUGUCUGCACCAAUGACGAAAGCACUGCCAGGGAAAAGCUCUGCUUUCUUAUAAAAAUAAGGCUGAGUGGAAAUAAUUACUGUCUUUCCUGUCAUUAGAAGUAACAAGCGACUAGUAUGUCAGUGUCAUUAAUCAAAUCCAGGAGUUGAAAACCUUCUCUUGCAUUACUUAGCAUGAAUGAACAACAUCACAGCCAUGGUAGAAAAGAAGCUAAAAUUCACAUAUAGUAGGAAAAACUGAGGAUAAAGGGAAAACAGCAAAUCAUCAUCAAUAGACAAUUUAAUCCAUGAUCAGUAAUACCAACUCCAUUUGAUCCCAUCAGCUUUCAAAAUGAAGCACUCAGAUGCCUUUUGGCCCUUUUUUUUAAAACUAAGUGCAAUUGUAGCAGUAUAUACCAUGGUAUUUCAAAUGUGCUUACACUGACAGAGUAAAACACUUAACACUGGACCUAACUUGGAUAUUACACGACUGCUGAAAAUCUUAUUCCUUCCAAAUUGUCAUUGUAAAACAAACAUGGGAAAAAAAAUUCUCCCUGAAACAAUCUGUUCACACAUCUCUAACAACUAGAAGUUUAAUCCUAGAUCUAACAUCAGUCCAAAUCUUCAAACCAUACCUCCAAGCCAACACCCUCCACCCACCCACAUAAGAAACCAAAAAUCCAGCAAGUGGCAUCACAAAUGAGACAUAAUAAUACAACCUCAAAUAUUGCAGUGUUCAAAAUAUCAUAGAUCUGAAUAAAAUAUGAACUUAUCAGGCUUGAAAAGAAAAGGAUUAAUCAGCCUCACCAACUCUUUCAAAUUGCUUAACGCGUUCUUUGAUUUGAGAUACUGUCAGUGGAGGUUUAUCUGCAUUGACAGCUGAUAUUUCAAAGCAUGGAUACCCAUCACGACCACAAAUGCUGCAUAAAGAUAAAGUCGAAGAUAUGAAAGCAGUGUAUCCAAAUUCUUAGUUCCACAGAAAGCAUAUUGGAUAUGUGCAGUAAACAUUUGAAAAACAAAAUUUUCAAGCACACGUAUUAUCUCAAAAGCAUUAUAUGUAAGGAUUUCUUCAAGGGAAGACAAACCAAAGAAAAGAAAAGAAAUUUUCCGAAAAGAUUGACUCAACUACAGGUUAUUGCAUCAUAUGUAAGAUCAUAAUAAAGCGAUCAUAGUUACCCUCAGAUACAGAAUUAACAAAAUCAUGCACCACAUAAAACAUAGUGACAAGGGAGUCAAACAUUUCAUAUACCUGGUAGCAACAUCCAAGAGCUUAAGGUGACCGUCGUGUAAAGGAUUAAAAGAACCAGAUAGUAUUAUUUUCCUGUCAGCAUUUGAUUUAUUUGCCUCUGCAAAAUAUUCCCUGACAAUGAAUAAUAGAAAAAGAGGGGACCACUAAAUCAGAAACUUUCACCCCCCUAGACUAUGAUCCAUUUAGAACUUGUUUCCCUGAAAUUUAAAAGGCAUCAAAUACCCAAAGUUUCAAGGAGUAGCCUUAUCUAAUAUGCUAAGCGGAUGUUACAUUCUCAGCCUUCUUUGUCUUUGAGUUUUUUAACGAAUAAAAAACAAUAUUUUUUCAAAAUACCACAAAGCUCUUCCAUCUCCAUCAACAGUGACAGAGCUAGAAAAUAGGUUGAGGGGGGCAAUAUAUGAAACUUAGUUUAGGGAGGGGGCCAAAAUAGCAUCAAACUACUUGCAUAUCCCAGUGGUAAGCAGCUAGUUUUCUCAGAAUUUUAGGUCAAGGGAUCAAAUCCCAUUAACCCUUAAUAUUUUUAUCAAAACUUCAAGGUGGGGCAUUUGCCCCUACUGGGCAUUGCCUGGCUCCACCAAUGUCCAUCAAUUGCAACCACCAACUGUAACUAUAGUCAUCACAGCCACUUGGCAUUUUCAUUGCAUGCACACCCACACUCACCCACCUACAUGCACACACAGAGGUUGUUUCCUGUGUUGCUAAAUUGGAGAAGAAAAAAAAAAAAGGUCAAAUGGUCAAAACAACAUUAAAAACAAUCACAUGUCAUUCACAUGGCUAAAGUGAGGGCAAUGCCAUCUAAAAGCAAUGCUAAACCAGCACACAGGACACGUGUGACAUUUUUUUUAUCAAUUUUUCAAAUGUGAAUAGUUAACCAAGGGGAGUACCACUAACAAAAGGGUAAAUGCAAAGGGGUUAUUAUGCAUUUCAAAGUUUUCAAAAUGGAUCAUGCUUCAGGGGGUGUAACUGUACUUUUCCCAAGUAAAAUAAAAGAAAGAUUCCACAGUAAUUUGGGUUAACCAACCCAAUGAUUAUACCAUACCACUUGAAAAUGGAUAAACCUUAAAACAUAUUUGCCCAUUUAUAAGUUGCUCCAAUUCUUCAUCUUCAUUGAACUGUUUUUCACACUCCUCAUACACUUCAGAUUCAGUCAAUUCCGAAACAAAUGUUGCUGGGACUUUGCAUGCAUAUGCAAUUGCCUAUAGCAAAAAGAUAAAAGGCUUUAUUAAGAUGUCUAGCACCAACUGGUAAUAGGGAUUUCACAAAUUAAACAGCUCAAUGGUAUGAAAAAGAAAUAAUUAACUCAAAUCCAUCUAAAGCUCUCUUAUUUCAUUUAUUUUGUUAAGAAGUGUCUCAAAUUCCUAAUUGAUAUAGGUUCCUUUUUGUAAAGAAUAUUGUAUAGAAUAUUUCUUAUGCACAUGUCAUUGUAAUAUUAAAUUCCCUUAUAGAAUAAGUAAAGUUAUUAGAAAUAUCUCUAUAAAUAUUCUAGGCAAUGAGGGCAAAAAGUUAUGAGAUGAAGCUGCACUUGUAAAAACCAUAUGAGGUGAAUAAAGAUGUGAGGAAGAAUAGGAAACACCUGAUGGAGCAAGUUUGUGGUUCAAAGCAUAUAUAUAAGGAGUGGGGAAAGCAUGGAAUGUUUUGAGAACCCGAUAGUUGUAUCUGGUUCUAUCCUUUAUAAUAUUUUCUAUAGUGUUGUGGAAUGAUUUUCUUUCAUCUGUAGAUGUAGGAAUGGUUGGUCGAACCACAUUAACCUCAUGUACCUUUGUGUGGACUAUUUUAUCUUUAUAUUCUUGAACUAAUAUUAUUUACAUUGAAAUAUUAGAGCCUAGAAUGAUGAUUUUUUAAAGAGUCAAAGAGAACAGAACACACAAGAGGAUGACAAAAGAAUUUUAGUUGAACGUAGAAUCAAUUGUUCUCUCAAGGGGAUGUGAUUAAAAAACAUGUAUCAUGGACAAAUAGAAAAUUGACUUAAUGAAAUUUAAUUUAAGAGGGAGAUUAUCAGGAAGUGUCUCAAAUUCCAAAUUGGUAUAGGUUUCUUUUUAUAAAGAAUAUCACAGAGAAAAUUUCUUGUGCCCAUAUGUCAUUGUAAUGUUAGAUUUCCUUAUAAAAUAAGGAAAGUCGUUAGGAAUAUUUAUAUAAAUAUUCUAGGUUAGUAGGGAAAAAGGUUAUGAGAUGGAAAUGUGCUUGUUCAGGGUGGAGUGAAAGAGCUCAUAGUUCAGGGUGUAGAUAUAAGGAGUAGGAAAACAUAGAAUGUUUUGAGAAUCCAAUAAUUGUAUAUGGCUUUAUCCUCUGUGAUAUUUUCUAUGGUACAGUGGAAUGAUUUUCUCUCAUCAAUGGAUGUAGGCAUGGUUGACCGAACCAUGUUAAAACCUCGUGUACCUUUGUAUGGAUUAUUUUACCUUUACGUUCUUGAACUAAUGUUGUUGACAUCGACGCUUCCAUUGGCACAACAAUUUUGAAAGUUCUCAAAAUUUUCUACAAACAAUUUUUGAAUAAAUAGAAAACAGGAAUAUAUGCGUGCACACACACACACAUAUAUAUACCUGAUAGGUAACUCUUUCUCUCAGUUUUUGAUGGGUAGAGUUCUCUAUUUUAAAUUUUAAAGAUAUUUUUAUCAAGUUUUGUUUCAUGUGAUCUAUAGAUGCUUUUAGGGGAAGGAAGAAUGUUUCUUUUAGAGUUUAUUGAUAGAGUAGGGUUGGAGCAAGUGACAACGAGUUGAAUGCUGGUUCUAAUCUUUUAUUUUCUGUUCUUUACGUCAGUACAACACUGAUUUUCUGUCCUUUAUACAGUCCUGUAUAUUAUGGUGACCCUUUUGGUGCUUUAAAUAUGCAUCUUUUAUUAUUUGUCCAAAAAAUCUAAGGUGCCUAGCUAAUUUUUUUUUCUUUCUCAGCAUGAUUAGUAAGAAAGGACAUCAAUCACUGUUACUUGUUGAGAUAUCAAUAGCAAGCCUUAGUAAAAAAAAAAAAAAAAAAAAUUCCUCAAAAGCCAUUUCAAGGCAACACAUCUACAUAAGCAACCAAAUGCAUGAUUCAAUACAUAUAUAUUGAUCGAACAAUACAAUAAUUUGGUGAAACUAAUCAUCGACCAUGUAAAGAAUGUGUUGUGCUAGCGAAAGCUUUGAUACCAUCAUUUCUUAUGCCAAAAAAAGCUUUAAUAUCAUGUGUUAUAAAUCCAUACAUACAUAGGUUUUAACAUGAUUUGUUCAACCAUACCUAAAUUCACAAAUGAGAGCGAACUAUUUAACUAUACCAUAGAUAACAUUCCAAAGGAAAGAGAAAACAGAUACAAUGCCUAAGCACUACCAGUCCAUCCUAUUUAGUACCUUUGCGUUUUUGUAAAGGAAUAUUGUUUAGAGUAUUUUAUAUAUUAGUAUAAAAUGGACAUAUAAGAAAGAAUGGACGACACCUAGUGCAACAUGACUAGAGAUAGAACAUAGCUCAAGGUUCAAAAUUUAGAUACUAGGAGAAAAUAAACAUGGGAUUGUUUUAGGUCUUAGGAAUUAGUAUCUGUUUUCUCUUUCCUUCGUAAUGCCCCCGAUGUUAUAAUGGAAUGGUUCACUCUCAUCCAUGGAUGUAAGCAUGGCUUGGUGAACCACAUAAAAACCCCAUGUUCCUUUAUGCAUGGAUUUUUGUUUUAUCUUUACAUUAUUACACCAACAUGUAACUUCAAAGCUUCCACUGGCACAAUCUAGUGAUAUUGGCAAACAUCACAAUGAUCUUCCAUAAAGCAAGGCAAACAUAUUACUAAUAAACAAAGAUGAUCAUUGCAUUUACUAAGAGAAGAUUCCUAGAGAUUAUUCAAUUGUCUUCCACUUCGAAGUUACACUCUUCCAACAGGAAAAUGAGGAACAAUUUUUGAGAACCAUAAAUAAUUUUCCUGUUACUCAUACAUGUCAAAACCUCCAAACAGAGCAAUAAAUGGACAUGUCCACUAUUUUUCCAAUAAAUGGAUAUUUUUCCUAUAUAAUGUCCUUUGUCCAACAACCAAGACUUCAAGAUUUCAAGAAAAACCUAUUCAACAAGAAACUUCUAAUUUUUUCAUUUCUCUCUGCAUGGACCAUUACCAGUGCCCAUGAUCAUAGCCACAUCCCACUUCAAGCUUUAAAAAUUGUAAUUAAGAUACCUCGUAUUUCGAUAGCACACUGUAAUCCAUGGCUUGGUCCUUGGCACAUAAAAUAUACUUAUUAGUGUAAAAGUCUAUCUAGCAUAAAAUUAUUCCUUUUUAUUGCUAAAUUUCAUGAAGGAUGAUAUAUUGCCAUGGAUUCCUUGACCUUAUAAUGACAAGGCAUAUAUUCUACCCUCCAUAUUGUACUGGCCAAAAGUCAUGCUAAAAACCUUUUCCUGCAAGGCCAAUUCCAAGUGCAGGUCCGCUAAGCAUGAUGGCAUUGAAAGGGAUGAGUUGGAUCUGGUCCUUAGCUCCAGCAUUUGCACAUGAUGUGGAUGCUCUCAAGACCCGAACCAGCACGAUCACGCUUGGAUACCCAUUGCAGAUAGUGGUCCCUAGUGAACCUCUCCUGCAGAUACAAAGAUUUGACAAACAUUUCGAUCCUUGAUUUCUAGAACCUUGAACAUUUUUAAUAGACCUAUCGUGAUAUCAAAAAGCAUAUAUCCCCUACCUACAUAAUGGUCAAAAUUACCUCAGAGAAAGCCUUUAAAAAUGUAAAACACAAGUAUCAUUGCAAUCAAUUUUUUAACAACUAAAAUCAACAAAGAUUUCAUCUUUAACAUAUAUCACACACCUUGAGUAAACAAAGACUCGAAACCUUCUCUUCUUGCUCUCGAGUUCGCAGACCCUACAUUAAUUCAGUGUAAAAACUGUAUCUAAAUUACAAUUCUUAAGAACCAAAAUCAAAUUCUAAAACAAAGAAAAAUCCUAAGAAUACCUUUGACAAGGUAACUGUAGAUGCCCAAAGUCUGUCUGAUGUUCUUGUUGACAAGUGAAACCUAUACAUUAAGAAGGGCAAAGAAAAGGAAACAGGAUAAAAGAAAAGCUAAGUUCCCAAUCCAGAAGCAUCAUUGACAUAAACUCUGCAAGAUCAAAGAAUACAAUUGAACUAUAAAGAAAUACUUCACAAAACAAGACGAAAACUAAUACCCAUAUAUUACCCUCUUUCCAGGGUCAAGAAUGCCUGAGUCAGAAUUUUAAAAAAGAAUUUUGUUUGUAGAAAUAGAGGGUUCAAAUUGGAGUAUGGAUAUCAAAUAUCUGGAUCCAAAAACCACAACAUUUUGCAGUGAAAUCUUCACUACAAUCCUUUCAUCUGAGAAAGGUAAGUUCCUUACCACAAAAAAUAGGAUAGCACAAGUUCAGGUUACAUGCACCAGAGCUCUCUUUCCCAGAUUUUAGAGGGAGCAAGGUAAAGUGCAACCGAGAGAUUUGUGCCUAGCAGUUAUUCGAUCCUUAUUGUGGGAGAAAAAAUAAAAUUUACAGAGCUCUCUUUCCUUACCACAAAAAAUAGGAUAGCACAAGUUCAGGUUACAUGCACCAGAGCUCUCUUUCCCAGAUUUUAGUGGGAGCAAGGUAAAGUGCAACCGAGAGAUUUGUGCCUAGCAGUUAUUCGAUCCUUAUUGUGGGAGAAAAAAUAAAAUUACACUUGGCACUUUUGAAGUCCAUUUAGGAGAAAGUCAAGUGACCAAGUGUUGCCAUCUUUCUGACUUUAGUCACCAAGAGUUCAAAAUUUGAAGGCAUUACUUGGUUUCUCAUUUUUAAGGGAUUCAGUUUGCUCCUCCAAAGCUCCAAGUUCCAGCCAUGCAAAUACUGCCAAUUCAGAGCCCCAGCCCCUUGAAUCUGAUUAAAUUGAACUUCAUUGACUGAACCCUAAGAAAUGCUGCCCAAUUGAGAAUCAAGGUUAACUAUUAGGGACCGUUGCAGAUGCAUUAUGUUUUCCUUCUUUGAGCAUGCCAGGAGUCACGGUUAUGCAAGUGCAAGUACUUAAACAUACACUCAACUAAAGAUAAAAUAUAAUAGAAGACUACAUAAAAUGAAAUAAAAACACUCCUGCAUGUAUAAAUAUCCUUAUGUACUUGGGUUGGCCCCCCUUCUUUCAUUAGGCACUCUUUUAAAGAUAUUCUUUUAUUUGCCUAUCAAAAACUUCUUUCAUUAGACCCUUUUUUAAAGAUAUUCUUUUAUUUGCCUAUCAAAAAAAACACAUGUAUGUGGUUGUGCUAUCAAAAGAUGUCUUCAGUUAGCCCAGAACAAUGACUAACAAGUAACAAUACCUGUGGUCACCACGUUUUGGACGUGUGCUAGCCAAAGAACCAGUAAAGCCCACUCCUAGAACUGGGGAACCUAUUGAGUGUACAAUGGAGGGCAUAUUAGAGCAUGACAGCAAUAGCAUCAUUUCCCAAGUACAAAAAAGGUACCCAGUAAGCCGUUAUUUGACCAGAGUACCCAUAGUCCAAUUAUUGCAUGUAAUUUACAGAACAAAAAUCAGCAUUACAUCACUUUGAAAGUCUCAAGUCUCAGUUCUGAAAACAGUAAUAGUGCACAUUCAAACAAAUACAAAAGUACAUAAUUUUGUAGAAACAAUGUAAAUACAAAUGGAGGAAUACUUAAAAUUUAAAAGCCUCUUAAUUAAGAAAUUUAUAACAGAAGUUCUGAACUUUCCAAAAUUUUACUUAACUCAAAGCACUAAUCAAUACCAGCAUGGUACUAGUAGAAUAUUGAAUGACAAAUCUCGGGAAUUUGCUAUCAUAUAAGGAAGCUCAAGAUAUGGAAAUUUACGGGGUUAAUUGCUAUAGUUAUUUCCACAUAGAUAAUUAGCUACAUUUAAGGAUCAAUCAGUUCCCAUAAGUCAAUGACCCAUUGGUCUAAAGACAUCCCAGAGCAUACCAAAUAACAUCAGAGCCUUAAAUAUUAUUAGCUCGAGCUUGCCCAAGUUAUAUUAGGCACUGGUAGGCAUUUUCUCUAUAAAAAAACUGUUUUAUUUUUUCAACCAUGAGUAGUGAUAAUAGUAACAAUAAUAUCCAACAUAGCCAUAUUUAGGAAAAACCACAUGUUAACAGCUAGUGUAAAUUUCGCGUUGGAUGGAAGUGGGUGACCUGUCAACCAAGAGACUUCCCUUUUUGCCAAACUAUAUAAGGCUUCCAAGUGUGCACACCUUCUAAAUUCUCCUGGAGGGGGAGGGGGGAGGGAUAAGCGGAAGCUCCAAACAGGGGCGCUGCACUGGUAUAUCAUUGGUUGUGGUUUCCACACUCUGUUACCUUCAUCUUGAUGGACUAAAUCAUCUAUAUUUUCAGUUACGGAGAAAAUUGAUGGAAAAAGACUUCAUGUCUAAUCAAAACCCUCUUAGCUUCAACCAUGUGAUGCCUGGUUUCCCAACAUCUCAGGUGAUAAUAAAAUUGGUAUCUGUAACUUACUGAAAACGAUACUUAAUUGCGUCUUGACUAUCAAUCCUUUUCCACAGUUUGCAAGCCCUAAUUACCUACUUGCCUUUGAUCAAUCACUGGCAAACACCACAUGUUUCAUUCAGAAGAUAAAAAUUGGGAACAAUUUUCUACAAUUGGAUAAUAAAAUCAUAUGUAUUUGUAAAAUGAACUAGUAACGAUAUUUUCAAGUGAAAUGGGAGUAAUUAACCUGGGUUACUGAGCUUAAGGGCACGAUUGUAAGCCAGUAAAGCCAUUUCCUCAGCAGUUUGCUGCGACGCAAAAUGAGUAGGAAUCUGGAAUUCAAACGCAUCCAAUCAUUCAUAAAAAAUUCGAAUUUAAUUAAGAAACGUUUGAAAAAGAUGAAGAUGAGCACCCUGCCCAGCAAUUGGAUCAUGGACAUUCUAGAAUAAGGAACCACGGAUUCGAGGACUGUGUUGGACGCUCCUGGCACUGACAUCAAAUGCCCUAGGGCCUGAGAAGCUCCACCGGAGACGUAGAGGACUGCCUGCGUAGGGCUCGAGUGUAUGGCUUCCACGGUUGCCCGUAGCAAUCCCUCCAUCAUUCACUCUCGCCGUCUAUCGCCCCUCUCUCGCUACAAAUAUUGGAUAUUAGGUGGGGUUUGUUUUUUUGGUUUUUGCCCGAAAGUAAUUUGUUUUCAGAGUUUAGGUUUUUUAUUUUUUUAUUUUUUUAUGAAUUAUUAUAAAUUUUUUAUUAAAUGAAAAAAACUAAAAUAUAUAAUUUUUUCUAAAUAUAAAAAAUAAUAUAUUAGUUUUUCUUUACUUUUUAAUACUUUAUAAAAAUAAAAUACUAUAAAAAUAAACAAUUUAAUAUUUAACACUAUUAAGCAUUAAAGUUCUAUUUAGAAUUAAAUAAAAAAAAUAAACAUUACCUUAGUCUUAUCAUGAAUAUCUUAUACACAAAGACAAUUGGGAUGUAUUAUAAUUCAUACUCUACCUCCAAAUCUAAAUCAAACUAAUAAUAAAUUUCUAUUAUAAUUCUGUAUAUUCUACAUUUACUCUAAUUCAAAUUAAUAAUAAAUAAAUAAAUAUUAAUAAUUUGAAUUAGAGUAAAAUAUAAGUUUAAAUUAAAAUAGAAAUUUAUUAUUAAUUUGAAUUAAAGUAAGAGAUAAAGUUAAAACUCAAUUGUAUUUGUAUAUAAAUAUAUGUCAUCGUCGGUGAAAAUAAUAUGUUUACUAUUGAACAGCAUCGUUUUAACAAUUGGAAAAACUCAUAAUGCACGACUCUCAUAAAUUUGAAAUUCCCUCGACAUGAUGUUCUAUGUUUUGAUGGUACAAUAGUUUUAAAAAUAUUUAUUAAAAUGUGUCAUUUUUAAAUUAUUUUCAAAGUAAUCAAAUCUACAUACAUUUUUUAUAAAAUCAAUUGAAAGUUCUAUUUUUUAUAAGAUAUCUUACUCUUAUACUAAGAGAUGAGAUAUGCAUAUCUCAUAUAUCAUACAUUUAUUUUUUUAUUAAUUUUUUUUAUAUUCUCAUUUUGUAAAAUGAUUUUUUUAUUAUAAAUUAAAUUUAUGGUUAAAAAAUUAUAUAAAAUAUAUUAUAAAAUAAUAUUAAUAUAUGAGAUAUAAAUUAUUUUUAUAUAUUGAAUAACAUAAUAUAAAACUUUUUAAUUAUAAAGUUCAAAUAUUUUAAUAAUGAAUAUUAUUAAAUAUAAGAAAUUUUUUAAUUUUUAAAUAGAAAAUAUUGGAAUUUGACAUAAUUUUUAUUUUAAACAUUGAAAAAUAAUAUAUAUUUCAUAUUAUUUUUUAUUCAUUUCAUAAAUUAAAUAUAAAAAUAAUAUAACAUAACAUAUCUUAUAAUAUCAUGUUCAUGGGAUAUAAUUUCCUAUGAUAUGUAUUUUCUAUCUAUUGAAAUAUAAUAUUUUAAAAUAUACAUAUCUUAUCGUAUCCUAUUCUUAUUUCGUUAAUUUUAAAUCAAUUGAUGUUGUAGAUACACAACCCAUCAAAUGUGCUGUGAAGUAUACGAAUUAACAAGUUAGAUAACUUGUCAUGCUAAAAAUCAUCUUACUAAUAAUUUACAUUGAUUUUGUUAAUUUAUUGAACAAAUAAAUUAAUUUAUAAUCGGUAUUAUAUCUCCUAAUUUUUUGCUUAUAAAAUAUGGCUCAACUCUAUUUAUUAUAUGAUCACAUAGAUUUAGGUAUCAAACCAAUACAGAGCAUUAAAUCAACUUAGAGUGUGUUUGACAGUAAUUUUAAAAAACAGUUAUAACAUUUCAAAUAUUUAAAUGAUAAAAAAAUUUAAGUAUUAAAAAUGUUAGAAACGAUUUUUAAAAUCAUUACUAAACAAGUUCUUAUUAUUAAAAAAAGAAGACCCUUAAAUAUUUAUAAAUGUAGUCAACAGGCUCGUGUCAUUGUAAAACUAGUCUAAUAUAUAAAUAUGACUAUUACAAGCUCCAAUAUAAAAAAAUUUGAUGCUUAAAAUUUCAUUUUAAUUGAUGGCCAUAUGCUUUUACAGAAAUGAUGAAGAAGUUUCAUAAUUUAUUCAUUUUUUGUUAUAUUGAAUACAAAAAUUUAAUAAAGUAGUUUUUUGAAAAUUACAAUUAAGUUAAACAAGCUCUAACUUCUAGAAGUUCUAACAUGUUCCACAAUGAAAGGGUUUGUUCGGUAAUUAUUUUCACAAAAAAAAAAAUUGAAAAGCAAUAUUUAAGAAUAGUUUUUGAAAACUGUUGUAUGAUAUUUUGUAGAACAAAAAUUGGUUUGGAACUUAAAAUGUUUUUAAUAUUUUAAAACAUGAUUUUAAAAUAAUUUUUAUGUUUAAUAUUUUAUUUUAAAUCAUUCUAUGUGUUUAUACGGUUAUUUUUUAAACCAAUUCUAAAAAAAUAAGUGAAAACAAUAGAAAACAACUAAAAGAUAUUUUAUGAAAACAUAAUAUUUUAUAUUCUUAAAAAUAGAAAACAUAAACAUUUUUUUUUUUGUCAAACAAGUUUUCCCAUUUUUUUUUUGUUCUAAAUAAUAGAAAAAUGUCAUCGAAAACCAUUAUCAAACAUACCAAAAAGUUUUUUAUUUUUUGGAAAGAAAGGUGAGUUGAGCUUUGUUGAACUAUUUCAGUGCACAUGAUGGUGAACUAAGAUAACAUCGAUAAAAGACCUUGAGAGUGAUACAUGAUAAUGAGGAGUGAGAAUGGACAUUUAAUUCAUUUUCUCUUUCAUUUUUAUAUUUAGAUAACUUGAAUGAUGGUGAAAAUGGAAUCAAAAGUGAUUAUAAUGGAAAUGAAAUCUCACUUAUAAGUGGGAUUUCAAUUCAUCCCAACUAUGAGUUAUUUUGAUUUCUUAGUAUAAGUUAUUUUUAAAAAUAAAAAAACUAAGGAAUUUUUUAGAUAAAUUAUUUUUAAAAAUAAAUUUUUAUUUUGAUUUUGUAAAAAAAGAUAAGUUGUAAAUUUAUUUUAUAUAAUGCAAACUAAAUUUAAUUCACAUCUUAUUAACAAUAAAAAUAAAAAUUAAUUAAAAACAAAUAUUUUUAUUUAAAAUUAAUAAUUACUAAUACUAUUCUAUUUUAAAUGAAUAAAAAAUAAUAAUUUUUUGAAGUAUAAAUAAGCUAAAAUUUUCAUUAUAUAAUAUAAAUAUAACAUUCUGAAUUAUUUUAUUUAAUCUAUAAUUAAAUAAUUAAUUAUUUUUAAUUUUAAAUUAUUCUUAAAAAUUACAAGAUUUAUUAAAUAAUUUAAAGCAUUGAUUAUGUGUAUUAUUUUUUAUAGUCAUUAUAUAUAUUUUUUCAAUUUAAUUUUUUUAAUUAUUAAACUUAUUAAUAAAUUCAAUAUAAAGUCUUAUUUGAUUUGAAAUUCAUUUUAUUUGAUGGGAAAAAUAAAAUGAGAAAAACAGUUCUCUAUUUUACUUUAUUUUUAAAAUUUAUUUAUAAAGAGCAAUAAUAAAAUAGUAGUAUGAAUUUUUAAAAUCAAUUUUGUUUUUAAAUCACAUGCACAAAUGGGAUUUUAUUAUUUAGUAAAAAAAGAAAAUAUUUCAAGGAUUUUUAUUUAAAUGAAAAUAAAAAUUAUUUCAAACUAGGUAUAUUGUGAGACUUUUUUAGAAUAAAAAAAUAUAUUUUGAAAAUAAAUUUAAUAAAAUAAAAUUUUUGACUUUUCAACUUUUUUAUAACUUAAUUUCAUUUGAUCAUUUUCGGGUUAUUCCUUUUUGCUCAAUACAAACUGACAAAUAACGUAUUAAAAAAAUGUGUUUUACUACAACAUCAAUAAACAUUAAACAAUUUAAUCAAUCAAAUCGCAAUAUAUGUGCAUUUAGAUUUCAUUAUAUCAUCUCAUUUUUUUAUUUUUUACUUCUUAAGGAGUAUUUGAUAAAACUCAAUAUUUAUAAUUUAAUGACUUAAGUUGACUUUAAGUUAAAUUAUAUUUAAGUUGUUGAUUUAAAAAUUAUUAUUUAAUUUUUACUUAGAAUAUUAAGAUUAUUUGAUAAAAUUAACUUAAAAUUUAUGUUAAAUCAUCAAAUUGACAUAUUUAUCGUUAUCAAUAUAACCGGGACAAAGGAAGCCAUAAAAUAAUAAAAAAAAUUGUGAAGGUAGUUUGGAUAAAUAAGGAUAAAAAAGUAAAAUGAAGAUAGAAAUCUAAAAGUAAAUUAAUUAUUUUUACUUAAUACUUAAAAUUAUUUUUGUCUUUAUAAUUUAUACUAUUUUUAAUUUAUUUAAUGAUUUAAAUUAAGUUAUUAAGUUAUUUUGUGGGGGCUUCCCUCCAUGUGUCCUUCCUCAAUAAAAAACCCUUAGUCCAUCCAAAAUAAGUAGAUGAUUUGUGUAGAUUCAUCCGUUUGAACCAAAACAAAUUUCGUUUGGCGCAAAAGAAAAAAGUUUUCCUUUUUUCUGGAUGUCAGAUGGAAUGGAUAGAUCAAGUCAAUUGAGAUUUUUAGACGAAUUAACCAACACAACCGAAAACUCCAGGCAUUUAACAAAUGAACCAUCACAUCUGGUGCCCGAGCAACGACCUAGACGACUUUUAUGUCUGAAAGUCAAUGUCUAUUAAUUAUCACGCGUAAUAUGCGACAUUGACAAAUGUAAAUGCAUAAUUAAUUACAUGGUCUGAGACUUUUACUUGGUAGUCAACAAAUGACAUCAGUCAACGGAUUUUAUUUGGUAUAAUUGCCAAAUUCGCACAAAAAUGAUGACGUUGACCGUCUUACUAAAAAAUGUAUGAGAAAUAUGAAAAAGGUAUGCGCGUAUAAAGCCAUUCGAAAGAAUUAAAUCCGUCCUUUUUUUUUUUUUUUUUACUUAAUCUUUGGAGGGUGUACUCGAACCACUUGUCCGAAUACCAUUUUGUACAAAGAAAAGUUCAUUUGACUUUAAAGAAGCUAAAUGGACUCAAUCUAGUUGACACUGUACCAACAAUUUUAAGAUGUUAAAUUGGUUUAGCCAACACCCAUUGAUUACUAUUAUUUAUAUUUAACCCAAUUCGUUGAUGCUUCAAUCCGCGCGGUAGGCAUGGUUCGGUACCAAAGAAAAACCAAUAUGAGAUGUUGCUUUCUAGUUUCUACGCAUUAUAGUAUUAUAGCAUACAAUCAACAUGAGCCAUGCCGCCGAGACGUACGGCGAUUGAGUGAAGUAAGAAAUCAAGACUGUCCCAUCGGCCCUCUACCAAACUCUAACUCUCGCGCAGCAGACAGCGCCUCUAAUCACGCUAAGAGUACUGGCCCCACCAACCUCUGACUCUAUACUUUUCUUUCAACAGCAAUACUAUAAUUCCGAAUAUUAUACCACAUGCCCCUUGAUUAUUACCCUCAAACUCCUUGCUUUUCACAUCACAUACGCAAAACCAUUUCACUCAACAAUCAACAUGCUCUACUCAUAACCAACACCUUAUACAAAUUAAUUUGUCUGUCACCAGGCGCGGCUUACAAAAAUUAGUGACUUGAACAUCACAACCAACAACUUAUAAAAUUGGGCACGGUCUACGAUAAUUACUGACCAUUUUUAAGCUCCAACAUCUUGUCCAUAUGCUUAUACAUUAAACAAUAUGCAAAAAUUGGUAACUUUUUUGAACAACAACAAAGUUGACUAUCCAUAUAGUAUAUACACACACCUUCAAUUGAAUCAAAUUAUUUUUAGCUAAUGUCUCUCCAAAAAAGUGUAUGAUUUAUUGAUGUUGAAGUGACGUCAAUUCUUAUUUUUGGUCCUAAUUCUUAAGAAUUGGAAUAUAAGCAAAGAUGUUGGUACGUAGAAUUUUUUAUUUAUUGAAUGAUUAAGAUGGAAUUUAAAAGAAUUGAUAAUUGAGGUGACUUUUGGUCCCAUGGAAUUUUCCUAAAUUCGUUGCAUACAGCGUCGAUUGGAGGGUGAUGUGUAACAUAUACAGAUGGAUAUGGAAAAGUUGGCGUAAUUAAAAUAAAUGAAAACAAUAUUUAACAAUAAUUAUAAGCUGUAAAGCUUAAAGAUGGCUCCGCCUUUCUAUUAUGCUGUGGUGGGUUCGCUGGAACGAAAGUUCUCACGCUCGCGUCGGUCCAAAAUUCCCUCAUGAUAGAGACUCUAUUUACUAUACGGCCCCUCCCCCACUAGGGGCCUCCUAAUUUUGUAGCCUGAUGUUCUUUGCAUUGUAAUGACACAAUUAGCCUUCCUUACCAAAUGACUUCGUCCAAAUAAUUAAUUUUUUUUAAAUGAAAGAAGGGUACCUUUGUCUUUCUAGAAUGUGGUAGAGAUGGUACCCUACAGGGGUCUCCUAUUGAUAUAUGACAUAUCUUUUGAAGGCCUCGAAAAAUGAAUACUUUUUCCCUAUUCUUUGUCUAUAGACUAUAAAGUCUCAGCGCAUAGUGGGGCUGGCUUUGCCACUCUGACAAACGGCUACUUCCACACUUCACUUCUCAAGUUCUCUCCAAUUUGUCCUUUCAUAUCACGAGAAAUUAGAGCUCUGCGCUUAACAGCUCACAUGGUGGCAGAGAGGUGUUGACACGUGGUGGGCAAUCGAGAGGUUGGGUGGUACGGCCCCACUCGAAGGAGCAAACAUUCUAACCAUCAGUUCGUCAUAAUUUAAUCAAACAUCAUACGUGGCACGGUGGAACACCGUUGAUCCUGCUUCUGUCAUGUAGUAACGCGGGGAACAUGGGUGUGAACACUAAACGGCCCGUGACCAGAGAAUUUGUCUCAGUGCUACACAGUGUAUUUACCAUUUCACAACAUGUUCUCGGGAUAAAUUUUGAAAAAUUUAUUAUGGAGAAUUUAGGAAGGUUUAUAAAACUAUAAUUGGACAAUUUUAUAAUUAUUUUUAAAAAUUAUUUUAAAUUAUUUUAGGAUAUGAUAAGUAAUUUUUUUAGUAAAUUGUAUUCUCGUCCUCUGUUUUAUUGGUUUUAGCUUGGGCUGUACAUGAUGAUUAGAGCCAUUACCCAAAUUAGUCAAACAUAUUUUCUGAUCGCUAGAGGAACUAAAUGUGGAGUCAAUUAACAAUCCCAACCAUUCACUGUAAUGACUUUUAUCAAUCUUUCAAUAUUGACCGUCCAAUCACUGUCACUUCUUUAUCCGGAGCCUUAACAAAAUAUCGCGAUAAAUUGCAGUAUUUCAUUGUUAUCAUCGAUUCUCUUAUCAACCCUGUGUGUUUUCUUUUCCCCCCCCUCUCUCUCUCUCUAGUCCCUAUUUGGCUUUUAUUAUUAAUUAUUGUUAUUCUUUUUAUUACUUUUUUCCGAUGAUGAAGACUUUACCUUUCCUCACCUCAACAUUCACACUCCUCUCCCAGCAUUUCGCUUCUCCAUCACCGUCAAAGUUUUGAUUGUCUCUGAAGUCUUAAACUUCAUUGUUUCUACGAGCUCUUUCAAAGGCAUAGUUUGGGUUUCUGGCAAGAAAGGUAAGCUGCAAAGCCAUCUUUCCAUUUUGGUUUUUGCUCCAACGGUCAUUUUUCUUUUGUGCAAGUUUCUGGACAUGGUUCCUUUGGUUUUGUUGGUGCUUCUUCUCUGCAACUCCCAUGCUCUUGUGGGUUCUCUGAAUGAGGAAGGCGUUGCACUUUUGUCGUUUAAGCGGUCCGUUGGAGAAGACCCAGAAAGGUCUUUGGAUAACUGGAACUCUUCUGACGAGAACCCUUGUUCAUGGAAUGGUAUUACAUGCAAAGAGGAAAGAGUUGUGUCUGUUAGCAUUCCGAAGAAGAAACUCCUUGGGUUUCUUCCUUCUGCUCUUGGAUCUCUAACUCAACUCAGACAUGUGAAUUUGAGGAACAAUAAGUUCUUUGGGAGCUUGCCUGUUGAGCUCUUUAAAGCACAAGGGCUACAAAGUCUGGUCCUUUAUGGAAAUAACUUGUCUGGGUCAGUGCCUUCUGAAAUUGGGAGUCUCAAAUACCUUCAGACCUUAGAUUUAUCGCAGAAUUUUUUCAAUGGGUCGUUACCCACGUCUCUGCUGCAGUGCAAGAGAUUGAAAACUCUUGAUCUCAGCCAAAACAAUUUCACUGGUUCUCUGCCAGAUGGGUUUGGGAAGGGGUUGAUUUCUCUGGAAAAGCUCGAUCUUUCUUUCAACAAAUUCAGUGGUCCUAUUCCUAGCGACAUUGGAAAUUUGUCUAAUUUGCAAGGGACCGUUGAUUUAUCUCAUAAUAUCUUCAGUGGUUCAAUUCCAGCCAGCCUCGGGGACCUUCCUGAGAAGGUUUAUAUUGAUCUCACUUAUAACAAUUUGAGCGGUCCAAUACCCCAAAAUGGUGCUCUAAUGAACAGAGGACCAACAGCUUUUAUCGGGAAUCCUCGGCUCUGUGGCCCUCCUUCGAAGAAUCCAUGUUCUCCUGAAACAGCCAGUUCACCUUCCUCAAUUCCUUUUUUGCCUAAUAACUACCCGCCUCCGAAUUCAGAUGGUGAUUCAGGGAAGGGGAAAGGAAGGGGUCUCAGUAAGAGUGCUGUAAUUGGAAUUGUAGUGGGCGAUGUGGUAGGAAUCUGCCUUAUUGGGUUGCUUUUCUCUUAUUGUUAUUCGAGGAUGUGUUCUUGUGGCAAGGGUAAGGAUGAGAAUGGUUAUGGUUUUGAGAAGGGAGGGAAGGCCAGGAAGGAGUGUUUGUGCUUCAGGAAAGAUGAGUCUGAAACCCUAUCAGAAAAUGUGGAGCAGUAUGAUCUUGUGCCGCUGGAUACACAAGUGGCUUUUGACCUGGACGAGCUUCUGAAGGCAUCUGCUUUUGUCUUAGGGAAGAGUGGAAUUGGGAUUGUGUACAAAGUUGUGCUUGAAGAUGGAAGCACCUUAGCUGUGAGAAGAUUAGGGGAAGGAGGUUCUCAGAGGUUUAAAGAAUUUCAGACGGAAGUAGAAGCUAUAGGAAAACUAAGGCAUCCUAAUAUUGUCACUCUUAGAGCUUAUUACUGGUCUGUCGAUGAGAAGCUGCUCAUCUAUGAUUACAUACCAAACGGAAACCUUGCCACUGCAAUUCAUGGUAAGUUUCAUCAUCCUUCCCUGUUCUAAAUGAAUAAAUUUAUCUGCAACCCUUAGUUACCUUUAUUUUCAAUGAUAUAUUUGAUGAUUGAUUGUUUUGAAUCUUUUCAUUGCCACCAGGGAAGCCUGGAAUGGUAUCCUUUAGGCCUCUACCAUGGUCUGUCCGGUUGAAAAUCAUGGAAGGAACUGCUAAAGGCUUGGUUUAUCUGCAUGAAUUUAGUCCCAAAAAAUAUGUCCAUGGAGAUUUGAAGCCUAGUAAUAUACUGCUUGGGCAGAACAUGGAACCCCACAUCUCUGAUUUUGGACUUGGGCGGCUAGCUAAUAUUGCUGGCGGAUCCCCAACCCUGCAAUCUAGUAGAAUGACUUCUGAGAAACCCCCACAAAGACAACAAAGUAAUCCACCCUCAGAAGUUGGUGCAGUUAGUUCAACUUCAAACUUGGGGUCCUAUUAUCAAGCUCCAGAGGCACUGAAAGUGGUGAAGCCCUCACAAAAGUGGGAUGUUUACUCAUAUGGGGUGAUUUUACUGGAAAUGAUUACUGGAAGAUUGCCGGUAGUCCAAGUGGGUAGCUCAGAGAUGGAUCUGGUUCGCUGGAUUCAGCUGUGCAUUGAAGAGAAGAAGCCACUUGCGGAUGUCCUAGACCCAUAUCUAGCUCAAGAUGCAGACAAGGAAGAAGAGAUGGUUGCAGUUCUAAAGAUCGCAAUGGCUUGUGUUCACAGCAGCCCUGAAAGGAGGCCAGCAAUGAGACACGUCUCCGAUAUCUUGGACAGAUUGGCCAUGUCAACUGAUUGAGAAAUCAAUUAGGCUGUGUAAAAGCUCCAUUUAAUCAUUGAAGCUUCCAUUUUAAUUGAACAGAUCAGGGGUCUCAUCACGCAUGGAGUGAAUAUGACCUCAGUAGGAUGAAGUGUAGAUGAUGCAUUUUGUGUAUGCCCAUUUCUUCAUUCAGUAUGUAGGAUUCCGUUCUCUCUCAGAUCAGAAGAAGUAGGUUGAAGCGGGUCUGCUAUAAGAGCAUACUGUGGGAGAUUUUUGAACUGUUUUUUGCGUGAGUUGGCUCCUAGAACUGUUACUGUAUAUGUGAAAAAAUUGUCGUCUUCUUCUUGCUCUUAUUGCAGACCUUUGUCUGUUGUUGUUGUUUCGAGUAGUAUGAACUAUUUGUUUGCUUUAGUUGUUUCUUUUCGCAGCUCAAACCAACAAAACAAAUAAACAAUUGAGAAGAUGAUAUUCCUGUGUUGGUCAGUUACAUCGACAAUAUACAUGGUGAUUACUCUUACCAGAAAGUUACAGUUAGUAUGGAAAAGUAUCAACAAGAAAAAAAAAAUCUUAGAUAUUUAUAUAUUUUUAAAUUAUUUAAUUUUUAUAUAAGAGAAUUAAAUAAAUUUAAAGAAUUUAAAAUAAUAUAUAAAAAUAAUUUAUUAAAUUAAUUUUUUUCUUUAUUUUCCUUCUCAGACAAUUUUCAACUUUUCGAUAACUAAAUAUAAUUAAAAAGAAUAGAAUGAGAGCACCCCAUCUUCUCUUGAAAAAUCUUACCCACUCAUGAAGUUCAAAAAGAAUAACAUAUAUAUAAUUUCUCUAAAUUUUAAAUUAAAUACAAUAAUCCUGUUACAUAAUAUAUAUUAUUGAUAUAAAAACUAAAUAAUUUAAAAAUAUAUAAGUUUUUAAUUAAUUUUAAUUAUAUUUAAUUUUAUUUGAUAUUUUUUAUAGUACAAAAAAUCAGUUUCUUUAAUAUUUUUUAAGAACCAAAACAUAACUUAAAUGUUUUACUAAAUUGUUUAACAUGUACGUAUACUUUACAUUUUAUUUUCACAUUAAUUUCAGACUUUGGAAUAACAUCUAUAUUUGUCAUCCAUUUAAUUGUUUUCAAUGUACCUGUUCACACUCAACUCAUAAUAGAUUGAUUUCUCACUCAAUUGUGAUGCAAGAUGAGAUACUUUCCAUUCUAAAAUUAAUUUUCUAUUCAUACCCUUUUAAACUAUAGCCUAAAUUUUAAUUACAUUAUACUGAAGAAUAUUUGAUUAUUUGACUAUUAAAAAAAUCUAAUUUUUUUUUAUCAUUUCACUUUCUUUUUUACAACAUUUUUUCUCAUUUUUCCCCCUAUUUUCAUAUUAUUAUUAUUAUUAUAAUAAGCUUAAUAAUAAACCCAAUAUAUGAAAAGUUUCAUGACAUUUCAUGCACAAUAAAUUGGUAAUACACAAGUCACAAGCACACCAACUGAGGCUCUAAGCAACCAAACAUCAAGUCUUCAUUUCAAAUGAAUUUUCUGGGACUGGGCUGCCAUUUUCAUUUCAAAUUCCGGCAAUGCCAGAGAUUUUUCCAGGAAGAUAAAAAGAGAGAGAAAAUUAAGUACACUCCAAGGAAGAGGGAAAAUGAGCUUCAUUCUUUCGCACAAUUCUCAGACGCUUGAUGCUAUCUACAAAUUCUCUGUCCAAAAAAAAUGGAUCAAAUGGUAUUGAUACACCCAUGCAAUAAAAAGGACAAAAAUUUCAAUUAGUUUUUAAAAAAAGGAAAAAAGAAACGGAUAGUAAAACCAGUGAAGGACUUACUUCCAUGGAACAUCACCGACAGUCCUCCAAUUCUCCUCUCUGUCCUUGUAAAACAGGGCAAAUUCAGACUCUCUCUGGAACAGCCUUAACCCGGAUAAGGAAUCUCUACCUGGAGCAAAUUUUUAUACCCAAGUUGUUUGACAUUUUUGAUAUGUAUAAAUAUAAGUAAUAUACCAACAGAAGUUUGUGAAGCUCAUGAAAUUUAGGGUGCGUACCAAACAUGUCUUCAAGCUGAAGUGCCAAGCUUGAAUAACCAGCGAGAUCAAGGACGCAGAUUUUCCUCCCAAUUACAACCCCAUCCAUGUUAACCUUCACAUAUGCCCACCUCUCUUUGCUUUGGACUCCCUCUGUCUCCUCUUCACAAUCUUCUGGGAUGACUUUUGGACAUCCUGAAUUUGAAUUUCUAGACUGUGCUUCCAGCUGGGGCCAGUCCACCGGCUCACCGUAUGCUCCAUAUCCCUCCAGGCUUCCCACUGAUUCAAAUGCAUCUAUGGUUAGUACAUUGCAACAAUUGUUCCAGAGGUCAUUGGACUUGUUUCCUUCCACAUUUCUCCUAUUUAUCCAUUCUUGAUGGUCACAUUAACUGACAAGGAAAAGGCAGUUAGGACUAGGUAGGAUCGCCUGAAAUUGCUAGAAUUUCUCAACCUGGCACCAAAUCCACUAAGACGCCUGCCUCUUUGAGCUGAAACAAGCCACUGGGGUAUUCCAAGGAUGAUCAUUCAGGCAAAUUUAAUCAGGGCUGACGGAUUUCCUAUCAUAUUUUUUCUUUAUGUGCCUAAUAUGAGGGUGAUGGGUUUAUAUGUACAGCAGGGGUUGUUAAUUUUUUCAGGAAUUAACAAAUUUGCAUGAAGAAUGUGAAGAAAUGUGAACAACCCAAGUAAUUCUGAGGUUCAAUCUAUGAACACAGACAAAGAAUGCUCAAAUCUAUAGUGAUCUAAUCUUUUUUUGGGUUGAUAAUCUAAUGUACAUUAGCAGCUUAUUCAUCGCAAGAAGCCUAAUUAGGUGACAGCAUUCUGAAUUAGUGCUCACCUCUGCCUUCUUGACUAAUUCAUAUUACUUUUACUAGCUGCAUAAAUACCAAUGAGAAUCCUGAAUUUGUAGCCAUGACAAACAUAACAACCAUUUGGUUGACAACUAAAUAAAAAACAAUGAACAAAGGAACAAGUUACAUACUAUGCCCAGUUGGGUGGUACACUUGGGGCUGCAGAGUUCUCAGACUAAGACCCAGAUCAAUAAUCCCAUCAUCCUCCUUGGUUUGGUAGUAAACGGGGUGGAGACUUGGAGGGCUCCAAAGGAAGCCCUGUGAAUGUGAAUCCAUUGGAGUAUAUUGUGGACAACUCAGUGCUGGUGGAAGCUUAUUUACACCUGCUUUCGUUGAUGGAUAUAUAUACCGCUGAACCUAUACACAGAAACGGAAGUGGAAAUGGGGGCUGAGUGUCUAGACAUAGAAGACAGCAAGGCCUUUUCCCCAUCAUCAAUCAUUUAAUAGUGUUUAUCAUCUUCUGAUACCAUCAACAUGCAACAAACACAAGUAUCCAAAAAGCAAGGGAUGGCCAAAUCGAUCUGGGUUAAAGUGGUUUGGAUCCUGCAACCCAAUAUUGCUACAUGGGUUGUACUUUUCAGGAUGAAAUUCCAUCGGUGACCAUAUGCAACCAAGCAAACAGCUGAAGAUAAACUGCUACGACCAACACGUAUUGAUUAUGAGUUGUACUAUUGCAACGCAAAGGGAAGAUGUGUUCAUGGUUUGCCUUCGUUAUACUUUACAAAUUGACCCUACUUCCCCCUCCCUUGCAAUUAAUAUAGAUAUGGGCAUCACCAUUGAAGUUCAGAAAGAUGCUUCAGUUGUACUAGUUCCCUUGUCGCUGCAGUUAAGGGUAAUAUCUACUACAACAAAAAUCAGAAGAAGAAAAAAAGACAUGGUUGUUCUGGAAUCUUCAACCUAUCACUUCUGAGAUUAGGUUGAGUUAUUUAAUUCAGAAUUCUCUAGUUAAAUCAUGAAACAUCUAAAUUACAAUUCCCCAGCUCCACAUGCAGUCUAAUGAUCUUUGAAAAUCUUUGUUAGCUCUACAUUUGUGUUAGCCCAAGAGUUCUUUUAAUUGAGUUUUGAUAAUCACAAAAUAAGGUUAAUGUUACUAAUAGUUUAAAUCAAGUAUUUCAAGUUUACUUACAAAAAUUAGAAAAAAAAAAAAACCUCAAAAAUCAUAAAGGAAGAUCAAUUCAAUGAAAAAUUGAGGUCCUUAAAAGACUUGAAGUGACCUAGGACUUUGUGUAAGAUGGUAUUUGUUGGUUCACUUGAGUCUAAAUCAUAUUCAUAUACUUAAAAGGUUUUAAAUUUAUCAUUUUGUGAACUUAAAAAGAACAUUUUUACCAAAGAAUUGAAUGAUUUGUUGUUUUAAAUUAAAACCUUAAAUUUAUUUCUUUUUAAACUUAUCCUAAAAGGUUUAAGGAAGGUUUAAACAAACUGUCAAAUGUUCCGGACCUUAAAUUGGGCUUUUUAAGCACUUUAUUGUGCAACUAGUCAAAAACCAAUUGAGCCAAUUGGGUUUGACUAGUAGAUGAACAUUUUUACACCAUCUUUCUUUCGAUAGUUGGGGUGUAGCUGAUUGAGGCAUAACCUCGAUUAGUUGAACUAGUUACUCAAUUAGUUGAAGGUCUAAACCCCAAUAAUUACCUACUAAUGCAUUAAAUGCAUAAUGAUUAGAGAAUCAAUCAAGGUCUGUUUGUUGCUUUUGGGGUCCACAACAUAGAAAACUACAUAUUGAAGAGUUUUACGGUAUGUAUUAAUAAGAGAAUAAUUGCAUUCCAUUAAACUAAAAGAAAAUCAUGUAUUGGUCUAGGUAAAUCCAUUAAAAAUAAAAGAAAAAAAAAUCGAAAUGUUUCAUGACUUUCUUAAACUAGAUCUCUUUAUUCUCAUUCAAAACUCUUCCAAAAGUACAUUCAAUUUUCAACUUCCAUAUACUUUUAUACAUCUUCAAAAAUCCAUCCUAGUCUCUUCUUGUAUCGAGAGCUUAAUUUGCAACUAGAUUUGGAGUUAUUAAAUUUAUUUUUACCUACACAUUGUGAGAGAAGUUAUUCAAGUAAGUUGAUUACUUGAAGAGAUUGUAAAGGUCCCUUAAUAGGAACUCUAGAAUCCAAGUGUAUAAAGUUUUAAGGGUUUGAUUUUAAAAGUCUAGAAGAUAGUAGAACUUUCACUCAAUUAAGAGUUUAAGGAGGGUGGAAGUAGGAUGUUUGUCGAACCACUAUAUAGGAGUUUGUAAUUCAUUUCUUUCAACUUCUUUAUAUUGUUUUUGAUUUGUUCCUUAUUUUCCUCUUCUCUUCCUUAUAGUUAAUUAUUUUUACCGCUUUAACAUCUAUUUCACCAUCCACUAAGGUGAUUAUCUUAAUCUAAUUAGCUUUUUUUCAUAAUUGGUAUUAAAGUAAACCUCUUAUUUUUUUUUUUUAACUAUCUAAGAAGAAAUGGUUAAUUCUUCCAAUAAAUCCCCGAUGAGAGGGUUUUCGAUUAAUAGACUUCAUUCUUCUUGAGAAUUGAUUAUUCUUAUUGAAAAACUAGCAUGACAUGGUUUUUAAAAUCCAUUAAUUUUGAUAUUUAAGAUGUCAUCUAAAAUGAUCCCAAUAUUCUAACUAAGAUUGAGAAUGAAGUUGCUAAUGGAUAACAUACUACAAGAAAGAUUUGGAACAUGAAAGAUAUUAGGAAGAACAAGGAUAUUUGAAAUAGGUAUUGAGCCUUUUCCAAUAAUUGCUAAAAAAGAGCCAUUAGUUUUCCUGACUUUUUGGUUCCUUGCACAAGGAUUAUAGGAAGAAAAUAAUUUAGAGUUCUCUGUCAUGUGAUCAUGUUAAAUGAAAUAGCUUGAAGGUAAUUAUCCAUUUAGGCUAUAGAACAAGAAGAAGACACAUUGUUUGAGAAGUUUAUGGAUUUGAAAAACUUAUACUGUUAAUCUAACUAUUCCUUACUGAAAGAAGGUGCCUCAGAAAGAAGGUAUCUUAGUGGCUCCUUCUAUACCAUUAUGCUCUCCGGCUUCAACUUGGAAAGCUUUUGAAUUACAAUUGGGUUGGCUAGUUUGAUUGGACGACCUCAACUUUUAGUUUUAUGGCUUUCCAUAUAGAUCACAACACGUCUCUUUUGUAUGUCAAGGUUUAUUACAGUGCUUACGUUAGACCUUCUCAUUCCUUUUAUUUUGCCAUGGUUGUCCACAAUGAGUAAAUGAAUUUGCCUUUAAUACUAGAAUAGAGACCUUGGGUCGAGACUAAUUAUUCUCUCUUAUCAUUACCUUCCUUCGACUGUUGAUCUUCUAACUUCAUCAAAUACUUCAUGGAGAUUAUAUAAAGUUAUCACCACUUUCAUAUUUUUUUUUUUAAAUCAAACAACCUAAAUUUAACAAAUUUAAAAUCUAUAGGUAUUGUGGAUUUAAUAUAUCUCUAUAUUCGGUAUAACAUGUAAAUAUAAAAAAUCAAUUUAAUAAUUAUUAUUAUUUUUAUUGUGAUAUCACACAUUUUAUACAAGAUCAAGUUCUUGACAAUAUAUAUAAACUCUUUUUAAUUUUAUAAAUGUGUUUUAAAAUAGUGAAAUUUUAUUAGAUUCAAAGAAAAUAAUAUUUACAUGGAAGGGAGAAGUCAUUAUAAAUGACAUUAAAGUGAAUCUUCAACCUUAACAUGAGUUUUUAGUUAUACCCAACCUUAAUGUGAGUUUUUGUAUAUUUAGAUAUGGAAGAAACAUCUAUUUAUUCGAUCUCAUAAUCUUGUGAGACACAACGAUCUCAAUGUAGUAUUAAAGCUAAUACUUAAUCUCAAUGUGGGUUUUUAUUUAUAUUCGACAUCGAUGUGAGCUUUUAUUUGUCUAAACCUCUAAAAUGUUUGUUUAAUUUAAUUCCAUAAUCUUAUAAGACAUGAGAAUAACGUUAUAUUUACAUGUAGGGUGAUUACGAUAUGUGAUAUUAAAUAAAUAAAAAAGUUUGAUACUAUUUGUUUUAAAACCUUAUGGGAGGAAAGGGAUGGUUAUUGGUUACAUUUAUUCUAAUAUUGUCAAAGCAAAUAAUAUUUGCAUGAAAGGAAGCAUAUGGUUUUAUUUUUUUUAAACAUAAAAUUAUAUUUAUAUAUGUAUAAUAUUUAAUUCACACUAAUAUUUUUUUAAAAAAAUUUAAUUCAAAUUACAAAUUGAGUUGCUGAAAGCGAUAUAGGAUGGGACUAGUUGGAAAAUGGGUUGGCUGAACUCUCCAAGUUGCAGUCCUGUCAGAAUUGAAUGACAUGUCAUGUAAUACUAUAUGCGAUAUUGUAAUGUUUAUCCUCUGUUUUAUUCGGAGAGCAUUUUUUUGGGGAAGUGACAGCAAUAUUGUAUUGAAUUAGUUGUCUCGUAGUUGGACACAGUGGAAGGGCUGCAAUUUUGGGGUGGUUUCCGCAGUCCACUCAGUGCCCUUGGAAAUCAGAGACUUUGCAACCCUCAUGUGGAGGUCUCUGCUUCAGCCGAUGUGAUUGCUUGAGGAGGCGGUUCGUGCUAGGCGGAUUCAACCAGCCCAUGGUUGGGGAUCACCUGAACCCCUGUGCUCUCCCCAUGGCGCCGCCCCCCCCCCCCCCCCCNNNNNNNNNNNNNNNNNNNNNNNNNNNNNNNNNNNNNNNNNNNNNNNNNNNNNNNNNNNNNNNNNNNNNNNNNNNNNNNNNNNNNNNNNNNNNNNNNNNNGAAAGGGGAAAAAUUUUGGGGGGUUUUCCCCCCCCCCCCCGGGCCCCUGGAAAAUAAAAUAUUUUCAACCCCCUUUGGGGGGUUUUUUUUUCCCCCCAAUUUUUUUUUUUGGGGGGGGGUUUUUUUUUGGGGGAUUUAACCCCCCCCGGGGUGGGGGUUCCCCAAACCCCUUUUUUUUCCCCCGGGGGCCCCCCCCCCCCCCCCCCCCCCCCCCUUCCCCUCUACUCCCUUCUUUGAGUGCCGUGGCACCCCUAGCGCAUGGGAAACUAGAGCCCAUUUCUUUGUUCCUUUCUUUGCCAUCAGGGAAUCCACUGUAAACAUGACCAUUGCUCCAAAAGAGAAUAUCACUUAUCCAAGGAAAAAUUAAUUUUUUUCUUAUCUUUUUUUACUUUUUUUUUUCCUUAUUUUUCAUUUAUAUUUCCUUUUCUUUGUAUUUUCCUUAAAUUUCCCAAUGACCAAACAUAAGGUUAAGUUUAACAGGAAUCCAUAUUUUGAUUAGGAUGGACCCUGGCCAGAGAGCAAUGAGGAGGCCCACAACUGUCUGGUGAUGGGCUCGUGCAGAACUUUGAUUUCAGAGAUAUGAAUUGCACAUUUGGGCCAGAUAAAUUUAAUUAACGCAGGCCCAUGUUGUCCAACCCAGAGGUUGAGCUGGGACGGUCUGACGUAUGAUUAUGAGUUGAAAGGCCUACAAAUCCAGGACUGGGGUAGGCAUACAAAGUUAAAGUCAAAGCCCAUUGUGAGUGUCCUUACUCCUUACCUGUAUAGCUGAGCUGUCUCCAGAGACAUUAAAUGACCCACAACUGGCCAAUUUCUGACGUGUGGCUCUUCUUGGGUUCCCUGCAAGUUGUACCACUCGUCUGAUACAAAACCUGAACACCAUUCCCCUUGCACCCACCUUCAACAUCUCCCAUGACUCAUUACAUGUCCUCAACCCAAUAAAGCCAAGUAAUCCCACAUUAGCAUAGGAAAAUGCUAAGCUACAUUAGUGGAAGUUAGCUAAACACAAACACAUAAUUUUUUAUUGGAAUUUGCGAUGACCAUGAAAAGGGUAAACAGAAGUGCAACUGUGGAAGUGGAUUCAAAUUCAAUGGUGUGAUCAUAAUCCAGCUCAUUCAACUUCCUUUUUUUCUAUAUUACACAUGUCGGUACCACGUGAGCUUUUAAAAAUGAGGGAAUCAGUAGCGCAGCACAUGGGGUUUUGCUGUAAUAACUAAUUACCAAGCCACUACAUCACUCCACCUCGGAAAUUCCAAUUCCUUCUUACCAGAUCGAACAGGGGCAUCUUGUUGUUUCCCAUAAUUGUAGUCUGGAAAUUAGAGACCAUGGUCCCCCUUCCAUAAUUCAUGCCGGAAAAAUGUGCAGACACGAAGGGACUGCAGCAACAGGAUUUUAAGAAAAUUAGGUGGAAUGGUUAGAAUAGUAGAGGUGAAUGUAUAGAAAGUGGACCUUACACCACUUGGAUGCAUGCAGCUAUGCCACAUGAGAAGUCAAUUUUCAGAUCCUCACUGGAUUGCAAUUAUUUUGGCCUCUUACAUUUGCUAUGAUCACCAUGAUUGGAAAUUUGGAACUAAUAAUUUGUGAGAUGUCGUUUUGGGGCCUCCUUAUUUUGCCAUUCCAAAUCUACCACAUCUCAAUGGUACAAUUAUAAGGAAUUGCUUUCAUUUUUUUAUUAUUUUGGUGACAACUAAGCAAGAUUUUUUUUUUUUAAUUUGUAUAUAUAUAAAACAAAAAAUCCCGCGGAGAAUUCAUGAUCUAACCAUAGCUUUAAAAUAAUAAUAUAUUCUUGUCACGUCAAUCAAUAUUCAAAAACAAAUCUCAAGCUCAAAAAAUUAUUUGAGAUUCACUCUUGUAUUUUUUCUUUUGAAACCAAGCUCAUUUCCUCGGCCUUCCUUCAAUUUGACGAUGUCCAUUGUUGCAGAGACUUCAAGAUCAUCGCAACACGCAAGGCUCAGGAGACCCAGAAAGCAGCCCACUUCAGCCCCAGAUCCGACGCCCCAAACCCAUUUAAUCGUCCACCCAACCCGUAAAAAAUCUACCAUUUCUGGUUUGCUUGGCUCACCCUUCUCUGACACCAACGACAAUGCUGCUAGUCUUUUGAGCAAGAAGACCAACAAGAAGAAGACAUUUACGUCUGUGGCACUGAGUGGACUCGGGUGUGUCAAGUGUUUGUCGCCGGUGGUGGUUGGGUCGUCGGGGGAAUGGGGGGCAAACAAAGUGAGGAAGAAGAAGAAGAAGAAACAGAGGAUGAGAGUUGAGAAUGCGACGGCUAAAACGACGACGUUGAAUGGUGCAAUGUCUCCACGUGUAGUGGUGGUGGUUCCUGACCUAUGCUGUACUCCUGGGAUUGGUUUAGCGGCCUCCAAUGCUGCUUUGGUUGAUUUUGUAGAACCAACAAGGUCCCUUUCUUCAAGAGGGAGGGUCAAUGCUCACAGAACCAAUAACAGAGAGGUUUUUUUUUUUUUCUUUUUGACCUUUUAAAAAUUAGACCAAAUCUUCUUUUUAAUUGCUUUGAAGGGCCAUAAUGUGAUAAUCAUCAUGGUAUAAUUUUCUGAAAAAUUCAGAGAUCAAAUGCAUAAUAUAAUGAGAUGUAUGAUAUAUUGUAACGUAUUUUGGUGGAUUGGCUUGACAGCGUGGUCGGACAAGAAGGAGAGGCAGCGACCAUGAUCAGGCUUCUGGAUCACAUAUCUCUAAUGCUAGAAGAUAUGAUGAUUUUGGGCAUGGCUCUUCUGGAGGUCUCUCUCGCUCAGAGGUCGGUCCAUACUUUGUCUUGUCCCUUGUUUUUGCUUUCUUAUUUAAACAUUUUCCCAUUUAGUAUCUAGAAUUCCAUUAGCAUCCGAGGGCCGAUUUUGAAAAAAAUUCGAUAAUUUUUAAAAAUAUGACAAUUCCAAAAAUAUUUUUGAAUUUUAUCGGGUGAGAAAGAAUCCAAAAUUUCAGAAUAAAUAUGAAAAUUAUCUUUUAGAAAGAUAACUUUAAAAUUUAAUUGAAAUUAUUAUUAUUAUUUUUAAUUUUUAUCGAAAAAACUUAUAGUUGAUACUUUAAUAAGUAGAAUAAAUUUGAAACUAUCAUAGUAUAUUUUUUAAGAAAACCUUAGCUUUCCUCACAAUCCCUUUACAUGUUACCCUACUCAUGAUUUAAGAACUCACUUUUAUGUUCCUUAACACUUAAAAGUUAAAAGUUCUUGCUUCUUUAUCAUUAAACAAUCCCCCUUCCGCCGCCGCCGCCAGUAUCUAUGAUGAAAGUGCUACAAGCAUUUUCAUUUUUCGCACGAGGGUUUUAGUAGUUUUGACUUUUGAGGGGCUCCCAGCGAUAAUACAUAAUGUAAAUGAAGGAAUGCGUGCAGAUGAUGAUACUACAGAGUAGCCUACUGUUUGGAGAGAAUGUGGAGGGAUCUGAUCGAUAUGGGGACUGGAGACUUGAUGUUGACCACAUGUCGUAUGAGGUUUGUGGUUUUCUUCCCCUUACAUGGAUCGGUUUUGCAACUAGUUUCUCUCACACGUAUCUUCAGUUGCUAAAAUACGAAUCAUCUUUCUCGGAUUUGUGACUUGGAAGCAGGAACUACUGGAUUUGGGUGACAGAAUUGGGUAUGUAGGCACAGGCCUGAGAGAAGAUGAGAUAUUCCGGUGCCUGAGGAACAUGAAGCACCCGAUUUUGGAUUCCCUCCCCUUACUAUCCUCCACCGGUGACAACUGGAGGUGCAGCAUUUGUCAAGUGAGUUUCCCUCUUCUCCACCUCUUUCUUUUUGCCACCCGAAAUUUUCAUUUUAAGGCCCAAGUUUUUGCUCAGGGACUAUUGGACUAUUAUAUAAUUUUUUUCCGUUGUUUUAAUGAUAAUACCACACAUCGCGUAAAAGGAGUGCUUCCUACUUCACAUAUGUAAGUGUUUGAUUGUGUCAUUGAUAGGAGGAAUACGAAGCUGAUGAUGAGGUGGGAAGGCUGGAUUGUGGCCACUGCUAUCACAUACAUUGUAUUAGACAGUGGCUCCUGCGGAAAAAUGCUUGUGCUGUUUGCAAAGCUGCGGCUGCGGCUUACAACUGAGCGUGGAACACCAUUUAUGCCUUUUUUUCUGGCUUUAAUUCAAUUCUGAAUUCAUGAAGAAGUUUAUAAGCACCUGUUUGGGGCGUCCCAUUUUCUACAUUGUUUGCUCAAUGGAAGAUCCUGGCUGUUUUUUUGUGGAGUCUGGAAGAGUUACAGGCUAGCAUUUGUGCUCCUGGCGUCUAGGGAGUACUCUUGCAUUAGUUUUCAACUUCUCGUCUUUCUUUUCUUUCUUUCUUCCUUCCUUUUCUCUGCUUUACGUCCAGAGGACGAUAUCUUCAUCACAAGGUUCUGAUUCUGGAUGCAAUCAUUCAUACUUAAAGCAAGAACAUCCCUUUCCUACCGGAGUGUUGGUUCCCGAUUGGUCAUUGUUUGCUGUAAAAUUGAACAGCCCAAUUAUAUCAAGGAACUUCCCAUGUUUUCCCCGCGAUACUUUUUGUAUUUGGGUUUCUUCCCUUCUCUUUCGUAGUUGGGUAGUUGGGGUACCGGUUUGGGCCAGAAUGAGAGCAAAGCCUGCGGUGGGGCCCACCCGCACCAGCCAUCUAAGGAGGGUGCUUAUCAUCUCUUCUAUAGAAGGCACAUUGUUGUCAACGGCCGGAAGAAGAGGAUAAAAGACAAACAAGAUUUAGCUUUCACCCAAAAAAUUUCUUUCCUAUCAAAGAAGUUAAUGGAUAAACAAGUUUUAGUCAUGCCCCACGAGCUUAAAAAAUCACAAUCAGGAAUUGAAUUCUAUUGAAACAUAUGAAGCAUUUGAGCAAAUAUGCGCUACAUGUUUCUGGACACCGAAAAGCAAACCAAACUCAUGAAAAUUCUGGCCCUUGGCAGGAAAUACAUUACUUCACAAGAAAAAAGAAAUUAUAAUCAAUCAUCGAGCAGUCACAGAGCUGAGAAAUAUACAUGGAAACUUCCAGCUCCUGAAUCAUAAAUUGUAGAUCAAGAUUUUUAGGUUCCUUCACUCCAUGAGGAAUGCUUCAGAUGCACAGCCUUCCUAAAAGGAAAGAGAGAAGAACUUACCUUCUAAGGGAUGAGAAUGUCUGAGCGGGGUUCAUGUUGCCAUCUAGGAGGAGUGAGAGUGAGAAAGAGAAAGAGCGUUUGCCUGUUAAGAGAUGAGUUUGCUCCCGUGAUCUUUUGUGGGCAACAAACUCUCAUGUGCUAUAUCAUGCAGAGUCAUUACUACUUAAAAAUUCAAUUAUAGAGGGAUACACUUGCUCCACUGCCUGCAUUUUAACAGAUAAAUUAGAGACCAUUACACAAAAAAGCUAAAAAAGAAAAAAGGGUAGCAUCUCCCUUGUAGGAGAAAGGUUAUUAAAAAAAUGUACAUACCAAUCGUCCUCCCACUAAAUCAUAGUGCGCAUAAUGUGGACCUUCAGGUGCGCCAAAUACUCUGUACGUGACUAAGUGUUCAGGAAUGAGCUUAGCAGUUUCUGGUCCAUUUCAACCAUAACAACCAAGAAAGGAUGAAUAUCAACUCUAUCACAGUUGGAUAUAAGAACAAUAUCUAAUUGAAUAGUACCAUAUACGGCUUCAGGUGGGCAAAUUAAGUCCUGGUCUCCAGCAAGUGCUAAAACAGGGACAUUAGUUUUAUGUAAAUGAUCUUUGUAGAAAAAUUUGCCACUCCUGUCACAUAAUCCACCCUCUCGAAAAGCUGUUGUUAACUGCAAGAGGAGUUUAGCAGGAAUUGUACCUGCCAGUCAUGAUUUUAGAUCAGAUCCCAUCAUAGAAGGGCAAAUCUGGAGGAGUGCAGUUAACCAUGCCAAAGGCAGAAUAACAACCAGGAAUUUCAAGAGCAGCCUUAUGCUAAAAGGAUGCUAGCUUGUUGCUAACUCUGAAAGAUCAGGGUAUUAAAUCAUAAAUUAAAACCAUUAAAUUGAUGGAGCAAAAACCCUGAGCACAGAAAGAUCAAUUUAGGAUUGUUAGGUUUCAGCAACAUAAUGCACUCAAAUUAAUCACAAUGCAUAGACAAAUUAACUGGUCAAGAAAGUGGCUUGAAUUCCAAAAGUAAAUAAUUCAACUGAAAUCAAUUCAUGCAAUGCAGAUCUUUUGGCUUCACAAGAUAACCUUUGAAUCACCAUUUCUCUAUUUAGAACCAUACUUCAAUUAAAUCAUAUAGGCAACCAGGCAACCAGGUUUUUGCACAUAACAUCAACCCAGAUCCUUAACCUUUCUCAUGUCCUCACAAUGCCUUCUAAUUCUGGUCUGGACCCAGAGCACUUCAUCCUAUUGUUGGUGGCUUUUGCCCCAAGUGCCCAGACAUUUCAGUCAACUUCCCUUCAGCUUGCAGCUAAUGGUGUUGCACCUAAUCAUCUGCUAAGAUGUUCAAAAUUAAAUAUCUGCUCAUCUCUCUACUCAUGCAUCUAAGCAUUUUCAGUUCAUCUCCAGAUAUGGAUAUGUUACUUAAGUGGCCAUCAUCCUAUACAAAGUGACCAGUUGGUCUUAUAUUUUUAUAAAAAAUGCUUCCAUCAAUCAUACAACCCUAUUCAACACUAUUCAUGCAUCACUUACCUCAACCAGUCUAACCACAGUCUAUGAUUAACAACAUUUUUAGUUCGCCCAUCUUACUGUUAACUGAACCAAUGCAAUUGGAAAUGAUAACUCUUGGGUACCCAUAAAUCCAUAAUCAUCUUUCUUAAAUAUACCUUCUAGUUCUAAUUUUACAAAGUUUACACCAAUAUAUUAUCAUACACCAACUCAUCUACAAACCCUUCCACUUCAAAGAAUCUCCCCAUGGUUUUAAAUUAUAAAUAUACCUAAUACCACCUCUAGUUUUCAAUUAAAACCAUGCUGUACUUCCUCUUCUACAUGCCUUGUGAAUAAUCAUAAUCAACAAAAAGCCAGGGGCUCAAUGCUAAUCCAUGAUAGAAGCUGCUUGUGUUUCAGUUCCACUCACUCAUCUUUGUCUCCGUGCACACAUCAUAGACAUUCUUAAGAUUGUGAGUUUACCCAUUUAGCAUGUGUUCCUCCUAUAGCAUCUUGCUCAUUAACUUUCUAGGAGCCCACUAAAUGUUCUCCGUAAGUCCAUAAAAACCACGCUCAGAUCACUCUUUCUCCAUAUAUUCCAUAAGUAGCCUAAGAAAGAAAUUUCUCUCAGGAUCCAUGACCCAAAUAGACUUUCCAGUGCUUUUGUUUCAAGUAUCACUUUUCAUUAAAUCAAUCUGCCCCAAAAAUUCAUAGGACUUGAAUGAUUGUUAUUGUGAUAAAUGUUACAGUCAUGAAUACCUCUUUCACUGUACCAAAAUGCCUUUUUUCCAAUUAAAAAAAUCAAGUUAAUUACAUAGUUUGCUUUCAAAAUUAUAUAACUUAAAAAAUAAAAAAUAAAAACUUAUAUCAGGAAACAAAAAUGUUGUCAUGUCAGCAUCUUAAUGCCCACAUGGUGGUCCUGUUUCUUUGUUCCUUCCAUAAAUCAUCUAAUAGGAUUCUAGCAAAAUUUUUUUGAAACAAUAGGUAAAUGUCCCACCAUCAACUUUCCUGCAGGUCAUGGAAGCUGGUUUAAGUAAUUUAAAAGGUUAUGGAUUCAUUUUGUUAGUCUUUGAUAAUAUACAAAUACUUUCAAAAUAGAGAAAACAACAAAUGAAUAAUGCAAUACCUAUCUUCCAUUAACCAUGAGACAAAGAGUGUGAAUUAACUUCAACAACAUUUAAAAAUUCAAAUUAACUAAACAAGUAAAGCAAAAAAAUAAAAAAAUAAAAAAAACAUAACAAAAAAUCUGAACCAAAGUUAGUAUGAGAAAAACUGGGAAAAGAAACAAAAGGGUGAUUUUAUAUUCGAACAACUAGCAAUGAUAAGAAUAGUAAAAAUAAGAGUUUUGAUUAAUUCCAACAACCUAUAAAAUUUUGAAUUGAAGGAACAGUGACCCUUUGCAUAUUAGGUUUUUUAAAGUUAAUGUGAAAUAGCAUUUACUUUUAGAGUAAAGUUUUUAUCUUCCCAUUUCCAUUCCAUAGAAACCAUAUUGGAUUUGGUUCUUUGUCAAAGGAAAAAAGGGCUAAACAUGGUUUAUCACUCAACCAUAAAAUGCUGAAAUUGAUUAAAGCCCCCGUUUGAGAGAGCUUAUGCCGAAAAAGAUUUUUAUUUAACUAAAACAUUUAAAUAUGUCAAAAUUUACCUUUAUCUAGAGCCAUGUUCUUCUUCAAAUGUGCCAGAAGCAUGUUUUUAUUUAAUUAUUAAUUUUUAAAUAUCAAAGUUAGCCUUUAUCUUUGAUAAAAGUAUUUUUAAAUACAGUUUCAAUAAUAUUUACUUCUACUUCUUUUAUUAUUGCUAAAUGCAAAAGUCAAACACAAGUAAACUGCUAUCAUAUAUGGGCCCUACACCUCUAUUUCAAAGAGCUUCUUAAAUAUUAAAUGCAAUGUUUGAAUGUAAGAACAUAAAAUGUAAUUUUUAAGAUGUUUGGAUAAAACAUUCAAGUGUGGAUUCCUUCUAAAAAGGAAACGGAUUGUUGUUCAUUUAAAUUUUAAACAUAUCAAAAUUAUCCUUAUUUUUAAACAAAGUACUUUUAAUAUAUAAUCCCCCAAAUAUUCUGCUUCUACUUCUUCCACAAUUAAAUGCUACCCACAUGGCCCUAAAGAAAUGUUAUUCACUGUUAUUUUGGUUUCAUAUCAAAGGUUUCAAUUCCUUUUUAAAUGCAUAAUUUUUGAAAGAGAACUCAUAGCUACAUGUUAUAUAUACUUUGAGGUUUACAUCUUACCUCACAUGAUAUCAAAUAUCUACAAGCAAGGCUACCUAUAAAACUGGGACCACAAAAAAAUAAAGGGAAAGUACGUUUGCACUUACAAAAGUUGUUUAAGACAAGUUUUUUCAACAACUUGGGAUGCAUCAUAUCCUCUGCUGAUAUCAGAUAAUUAAGCCAAGACAAGACAUAAGGAGGGCCAGAUGAAAGAGGAUAGGCUGCUGCCAAUAAUGCCCCUAAAGGAACAACAGGAACAUUGAGGGCCUGAGCAGGAUCAGCCUGUGUGACAAAUGAAUUAAUACUCAACAAAGUUAUUCCACUUGCAGAAAGGGAGAUGGUGGCAAAAAUAGUGCAAUAAUAGAAAAAGAGUGAAAGAGAUAAUCCACAUAACUAGAUUUUUCAUUCACUUACAAGGGGCAAGAGCAUUUUAAGGGAUGAGUUUGAAGAUGUGUAGUCAAGUGAGGAUGCCAAAGUAACAAUAGCUGCUAAUCUAGGAUCUCUUCCUUCAAAACCUUGUCAAUAUAAUGAAAAGCAUUAGUACAUAAAAUGAAAAGCAUUUUGACAAUUGUUUUAAAAUAAAAAUAACAAAAUCAGACACCUCUCAUGAACAUCUCAACAAUAAUAUGCAUCCCCACUAGGAGAUUUUGAAGGAAAAUGAUUGGUGUUGGGAAAAUAUGGCGUUUACUAUUGGAAAUGGCACCAAAAUCAGAUUCUGGACUGAUCUUUGGUGCGGCUGUACAGUGCUGUCCCAAAGAUUCCCUCACCUUUAUGUCACAGCUGCUCAUAGAAAUGCCACGGUAGAAGAAAUGUGAGAUCAGAAUGUCGGUCAAGGAGGUUGGGAUCUAAGGUUUAUGAGGGAUUUCAAUGAUUGGGAAUUAGAUAUGGUAGGUAACUUGCUUCAUGUCUUGAGGGGAUACAAACCUACUUUAAAGGAAGACUCAGUCUCUUGGAAGGGAGGAAGAAACGGGCAGUUUAAAGUCAAGGAAGUGUACAAUUUGUUGGUCAAUCCCAUUGUCACCGGAUUUUCGAAAAGUAGCAUUUGGGUGGAUAGAGUUCCAACUAAAAUAGUGUUUUUUGCUUGGGAGGCUACUUGGGGGAAGGUGCUUACUCUAGAUAGGCUCCAGAAAAUUGGGUGACAGCUCCCUAAUUGUUGUUUCUUGUGUGGUUGUGAAGAGGAAAUUGUAAAUCAUAUUCUCAUAUACUGUAUAGUGGCAAAAGUCCUGUGGGAUAUUGUCCUUUGCUUUGUUUGGUGCUCAGUGGGUCUUUCCAGAAACUGCAAAGGAGGUCUUAUUGAGCUGGAGGGGCCCUUUUGUAGGGAAAAAAAAAGAAAAAGAUAUGAAAGUCUAUCCCGCUGUACAUUUUUUGGACACUUUGGAAGGAAAGAAAUAGAUUAGCCUUUAGAGGGGGAGUGCUAGCAAUUCAGAAACUUAAAAAUUCUUUUGUGUGUAAUUUAUGGUGUUGGGUUAGAUUGUAUACUGGAGAGAAUUCGCUGCCCCUUAUAGGCUUCUUGGAGUGGUUAGCCUCCAAUUAAGGGUUGGUGGGGUUUUUUGCUUUUCUCUUUGAUUGUGAGGCCUAGCUGCCUUGUAUACUCCCUGUAUACUUUGUGGCUUUUCUGCCUCUUUUAAUACAUUCUGUGCUUAUUUAUAAAAAAAAGUAAUAAUAAUAUGCAUCCCCACUGAAAUAGCCGAAAUAGAGCCUGGCCAUAAUCCACAGGCCUGUAACUUAAUUUUGGCAAAUUAAAGGCAUUAUUUACUGGAUCAUGAAAUUAUGCAAGGACAUUAUUUUCAGUGGCACAUAGCAGUGAUCAGUCUACCAUCUUAAGGAGGACAACCAAGUUGGAUGCUGUAAAAUAAAGACAUAGGCACCUCUUUUGAAUAGACAUAAAAAGAACUGUCUAUGUUUUUAUUUUAUGGCAUCCAGCUUGGUUGUCCUCCUUAAAAUGGUGGGCUGAUCAGUGCUAAAACAAAGACACUGCUAAAACAAUUUGAACUUUUUAUAACAGCCAUUCCCAUGCAGCAUGUGCAAACUGCUGCCACAGCCAUUGCCAAAUAUUCAGGUCUCUGACACCUCAUCCAGAAAGUGUGGUACAGGAAACAACCAUACUGAAUCACUAAAUUGAUUACUAUUCUAAAAAUAAAUCAGAAUUACAUGUGGCUAUGAAGAAAAGAAAAAUGGAAUUGUUAUGGCCUCUUACCAUAUUUUGAUAACCUUGCAUAUAGCAAUAUGCCUCCCAUGGAGUGUCCAAUUGCCAGCAACUUACCAUCCUUUGGCUUUGUUUGAGCCAUUAUAUAUUCCAUCUGUAUUGGCAAAAUUAAAAAUUGUCUUUAAUCAUGUGAGGGUGGCAUAGCAUAUCAAAUGUUAACCCAAAUGAAAAAAUAUGUAAAAGAAAUCUUAAUUUUAAUACCACAAAGUUAAAUUGGGAGAGUCAAUUUAAAAAAAGGUAAUCAUGUUUACAGCAUUCCAGCAAGGAGGAAUGUCACCUCACCGCAGCAGGAACAUCCUCUUCCAGAUAUUGAUCAAAGUCCCAAUCAUAUUUCACAAUCAAGUCAAGUUGCUUCUGGAAAUCUUCUAUGGUUGAAGAAAAUCGCUCUUGCAAGUCAAACAAUUGAGGUGAUACAGAUCGUUGACCUUCUUCAAUAAUAUUUACAAGCCGUUGACUCAGAUCCCUGAUUUGGCUAGUGAUACCUGAAUUUUGCCUUGUUUCCAACAACCUUGAAAGAUUUCCCCUUACCUCAUUAAAACGUUCAGAUAGUUGAGAAUCUUCUAUGAGUUUAGAUAUUUGAUCAAAUAAUUUAGCAGACAUAAUCUUCAAUUGGCCCUCACUGAGAAACCCAGAAAGUCUUUCUGAUAAAAGCAUGAAAGUUUCCGUCAACUUCAUCACUAAUUUAGACUCAUCCCAUACUGUUGCUAUUCUCAUUGUGUCUUCUUUAACAGCAGAGAUUUUAGAUUCUUCCAGGGCUCCUGGAACAAUGUUUGACUGCUGUGCGCUCUUAGCAGCAGCUUCCAUCUGAUCAGAUAAGACAUUGGUAGACUGUUCAAAUUCUUUCGAAUUUAAACCCAACAUGCUCAACUCAGCACCAGUAGAAAUGUUAGAUUGCUGGCCUGCAGAAAAACUUCCAUUUGUUGCACUUGCAGCAGCUUUUAUCUGCUGAGAUAUUGCAUUGGCAGACUGCUUGAUCUGUUUGGAAUUUAAACCCUGCAUGCUCAGCCCAGCACCUCGAAAUUCAAGAAUCCAUGUGUCAAAUCCCUGGCCUGCCAUGUAACGGGCAAAUGAAGACUGCAAAUAUAACAGAUGCAUUAGCAAUGCUGUACCAAAAAAUUGUUAAAGCAGAGAGCAUCUCCAAGUUAUAACUAAGAAUUGGAAGACGGCAUUCUAAACUGUUACUAACUACAGAAAAGUUGGAAUAACAAGCACUCAUUACAGCCAAGCCUAAGUUCAUGUUUAAGCCUUGCAGCAAGCCCAAAGCCGAACCACAAUCUCACUUUGCUUUGCGAGCUUGAUACAAGAUUCAAUAAUCCCAUCCAGUUAAAUUUGGUUAAAUCAAGACUGCAGCAUUUGCCUCAGGAAAACAAAAGGGUGCAUUUUCUUCUACCACAUAAUUCAAUGUUAAAAGGAAUGUUAAAUAAGAAAUACUAAAUUUUAAUAAUAAGUUGCCCCAAUGUAUGCAAUCUAAUGUUAAUUCUAAUUGCUUACACACAGUGAACUAUCCCACUUAUUUAGUCAAUUUCAAUAGUGUGAAAUUUGCACUAAGUGGUCUUUGUUGUAGGGUUUACUAUCAGAUUUUGGACAGAGUAAAGUUAUGUGGCAAAUUGAAGAUCAUCUGAUUCUGAUUUCUUUUGCCAAGACUAUUGGGCAGACACACAAGUUUCACAUUUUGACACGAGUAAGGGCAUUAUGACGUAAGUAUAGUGACUCAUGAAAACCUAAACAUAACACCAACUACCCUACGGUAUGUGUGACACCCAACUGAUUCCCAAAAUAUGAUGAUGUUAAGCAUCUCUGGAACUCAAUAAAAAGGUAUAACAUACACAAGUUUCACAUAACUGUAUACAAGGGGGAAGGAAGAUCUCCACUCAUUUCAUUCAUUCAGUGCCUGCGGUGAGGCGCGACCCACAACAAACGAAGGAAGGGGGAAAGCUUGCUUGCUGUAGCCCUAUUUUAGUAGACUAGGCUUGGUAAGCGUAAUUUAAGUAGGCUUGAGAAGGGUAGGCUCGCAGCUUCGCUCAGCAGAAGAGCCUGACUUUCUAUUAUAUUAGUAAAGCGCUAGCGCCCAACCUAUGGGCUUUGAAGGGAUAGGGGAAGGGAAGAAAACAAGGAUGGUCACUCCUUUUAGGAACAUGGCUCGUUCAGUCACUUCACUCGCAGCUCGCUGGCUCGUUCAUUCACUUGCUUAUGAACUCGCAGCUUCGCCAGAAGCUACUAGUCGCCUCCUUUCCUCCGCCGAAAGAUGCUUAGCCAGAAGCGACGAAGGGGGGGGGCUGGGGAAGGCCGACGACUACAUGAGGGGGAAGCUGUCGUAGAAGCUUUGCCCCUUGCUUUACAGAGAUUGUUAUGAACUGACUAAAUGACUAGAUUCUCCCGGAACGCUAGCUAAGCUAAUAAAUAGUCUUAGUUCCCUUCAAUCAAAUCAAUAAGCUUUUUACUUUUUUAUUCAGGUGCUUAACACCCUCCUUCUUAGAACCUAUUGAGGGGGGCCUCGGCCCGGGAAGGGGAGAGUGGCCGAGUGGUCAAAAGCUGUAGACUGUAAAUCUGUUGAAGUUUUUCUACGUAGGUUCGAAUCCUGCCUCUCCCACUUGUUUGUUGUAGACUUCAGAGAAGAGAAAGGAGGCAUUCGUCAGCGUAGGAAGGCCAACCGAGUGAAGCUCUUUCUUUUUUUUUUUUGCCGUGCCGUGAAGUUCAAUUGUAUCGUAUGUUAGUUAGAGAGGUUGGUGAACUACUACGAUCUAUAGAUUCCCCAUCUAUCUAUAUCCAAUCCCAACGAGAAUAGAAGCAAGUCGCUUCCGGCUUGGCUUGUAGUCGUAGUCUUUUAGCUUAUGUAGUGGUCGGCCUUCCUACACGCAUGCGCCCGCCAGAAUGCCUCCUUGGUUCUGGAGACGAAGCCAAACCGAUACAUACGAUAGGCGAAGGAAAGACCCCCCAUUUCAUAGCGCCUGGGGAACGCAAGUUUGAUUGAGGAUUGAUUGGAGAGGAGAGGGUGGUCGAAGAUCAGGAACGGGAUGGAUUUAGGAGUCUUUGUGCGAGCCGUAUGCGGUGAGAGUCGCACAUACGGUAACGAGGGGGGUUCGCGUCUAUACGUAUAGUGUGGGAGUUGGGCCUACCCACCCUAUUUGUUCCAUGAUCUAUGGAUCUACUGGAGUCUGGAGCUACCCACUUCGAUCAAUUAGCCAAGAUUUUGACCGGAUACGAAAUCACUGGUGCUCGAUCUAGUGGUCUUUUUAUGGGGAUUCUCUCUAUCGCUGUAGGAUUCCUAUUCAAGAUCACUGCAGUUCCUUUUCGGGCGGCUGUAGGACGGACGGCCGCCUAUAGGUGGUAGGGUAGGGUGGGUGGUACCGCUCAGAUUGUGGCCAAUCUUCCUAACCGCGCGCGGGCUGGGCUUAGAGCGCGUGAAACUCAUCACUACCUCGUAAGGGCGUUGAGACCAUAGCAUGUUACACGAAAGCGCCGCUUUCUCUGUAGUGUUGUCACACAGCUGCCCGCCUAGAAGAGCCACUCGCUCUGUAGUGUUGUCACACAAGAUAAGCACGCCGCCCGCCUGCUGGCCGGGCGAAUUGAAGUUCUCUUCCGGUCAACUGUCCACCCAGUCAAGUGCAAAAAACACAGUAGAAUCACGCAACGCAUGCUGCUGGUGUGCUUCCUGCCCGCGAGGAAAGAAGAGAGACAAGGUUCAGUUCAGAUUUGACUGUUUGCAGCAUGGGAGCGGAUUACCCAAAAAAUCCCUGGGAACAAUAAAAAAAAAAGAUAUCUCGGUAACGAAAACUAUAGGGGGCUGUAUUGGCGAGAUCCAACGGUGAACAGCUGCCCAAAAGAAAAACCGCCUGGAAGUCCGAGGACCUUUAGUACCGUACCCUACCCUCGAACCAGCAGCCUUCACGCCAAGCAAGACCGCCCUUGUCCCUUUCCUUUCUCCAUUCCGCCUCCUUCUUUGCUUUGUUCCAAUAGAGUCUAAGGCAAAGCUAAAGUGGUUUGUAUGCCUACUUUACCUACUUGAUGAAAGGGAACGAACUUAGUUUCGUUUCCGGGUUUAUGGAUUGGAUUCAGUCAGUGUCACGACAUAAUCAAAAGGAAGGAAUGACGCCCGGCGAACGCUUCCAAAGUUUCUCGAGUUUCCGGCUGUUUCCUAGAUUGAAGUAGCCUUUUGUCGCCCUACCAAACGAAAAAAGUCACUAUCAAACAGCUCGCCCUACUGAAGUACCAAAGGUGCGCUCCGCCCGGUGACUAAGAAAUAAAUUGGUUUGCGCUUUCAUUGAAGUAAUUGGUUGCUGUAGUUUUGAUUUGUUAUUAUUUUUAUUUGUUAUUAUUAGUUGGAGUUUAGUCUUCUUCAGAAAUCUAACAUACACAAUCACUCUACAAACAUGUUCCAUCUCAAAAGCAUUCUUCUCUAAAAAAUUGAAAUGGUAAACCAUGAUUGAAAAACCCAGAUUUGAACAAAUAAAAUAAAUAAAUAAUUAAAUAAACUUACACCAGGAGAGAGAUCAAACCCAAUGGCAUUAGUCCCCACACCUGAUAGAAGCAACAACGGAUGAUUCCUUGGAGGAGCCUAUCAUUUCACAUUCCACACAAAACAAUUACCAAAAAAUUGCAAUGAUUAAUUUGGAAUGCUUUUUACAGGAAAAAACGCCUUUACUUGUUCAACGGAGAAACGCUUCUGGGGAAAAAAUUAUUUCCUCCAAUUUUAUCAUGUGUUAUUUUAUCUAGGAAAUACAAAUCCGUGGAGAAAGGAGAGUGAAAGAGACCUGAGGGGAAGGAGAGUAGCGCCACAGAGCGAGUCUCCAAUCGGAAUUCGACACGGAGACAUAGUGAAGCUCGUCGGCCGUACAGAUCGAAGGCUUCUCUUGAAUCUUCUCGACAACAUCACCAGCGCCGGUGGAGAACGCUCUCGUAAUAAGCCUCACCGGCGAGGUGGUGGUCGACGGCCAUAAGGUUCGUGAGAAUGUGAGAGGCGCCAUGGUGCGUGCGGAGAAGACAGCGGGGUUGAGAUUGCGGAAGGUGGAAGCUGCGCGACUCGCAAUCGUGGAAGGCAUAUCGGAUUGAAGCCCUACCAUUUUGUGGAAGCAAUUCCUUUGUUUCUGGAUAUUUCAAUUUUAAUUGCCUACAAAUUAGCAGCCGCCUGCAGCUUUGCUUUGCUUACCUCAAGCCGUGAUUGCUUCGUGGAGAGUCCUGAGGAAAACGAGAAUCCCAUGCGGACAUCAACAUCAGUAUCCACUUGACGUGGCCUCGAUCCCCAUUUUGCGAUCAGAGCGGUAAAAGAAUCAACGGACCAUAUUGUUAAGUCUUGCUGCUGCCUUACAGAAAAAUUGCCACGCAUUGAGCCCAGAAAGGCCUUGUGUUUCUGGCCACCCCACUGUAACGUGGAUUGGGUUCGGAGCCUCCAAGACCCAGCGUCCCAUGAUGUCGCAGAGUUUUGGGUCUUUAGCCCACAACUAAUUCGGCCCAUAGCCCAGAGUAAAAAGCGGUUUGUUCUCCGCUCUUUCCCUCACCUCCUUCCUCGAACUCGGCGUUCGCCCUGUGAACUGCGUCCCCCUUUCUGGUUUUGAUUAUUUGGAGAGUAUAGCAAGCCAUGUCUGUUGAUGGGAUUGGAGUGGAGAGAGUGUUUAUAGGAGCGGGAUGCAACAGAAUAGUAAACAACGUCUCUUGGGGCGCUUGUGAUUUAGUCGCUUUUGGUGCCGAAAACGGCGUCGCUAUAUUCUGCCCUAAGGUUGCUACACUUUCCUUAGUU
rnacentral:lncRNA from 1 species